rnacentral:lncRNA from 1 species
GGCAGUUAUAUAGCUAAAACAGUUUAUUCAUAAGCUUUAGAGAUAUUGUACAGUACAUAAUAUUAAAGCAUCGGCAGACAUAAUGUAUAUAAACACGCUCACUCGAGUACCACACGACAAGAGUUUCACAUGGUUCAUCAAGUAGGAAAGGAGCAAUUAGUAAAUAUAACAACAUAGUAUCGGAAUAGAUCCAUUGUCACCGAACGAAUUUAUUCUUAAGACCGGACCACAAAUCAACAAACUUCUCAGAACAUCACCAUUACACCUGAUCUUCAUUCCUCAUCCGUGCGCACAGCUGCAACAUGAACAACCAAGUCAGUGUUCAAGAGAACAAUACAGCAUGAAGUAAAACCAAAGCAAGAAAGAGCCUCAUCUGAAUGCCCACCAGGAAGAAAGACAUUAAAUAUGCAAGUGCACAAAUCAUCACAGAAGCUGGGUAAGCAAAUUAUUCAGAACAGCGUAGAUGUUGGAUUCAACACUUCAUGCAAAUCACGCAAGAGAACAACCAUCACAGUCACUUAAGCAUUCCAAAACCCAACUACAUGUACUUCUGCAGUUCCUGACAGCGCCCCCGAGUUGCAAUUACAAUAUCGAUACUUAUAUGAAGCACAAAAUCAAUAUCGCUACAGAUCCCUACGAACCUAAUUCCGUUUCAAAGAAAAACUACAAACCUAAUUGCACCUAUCCAGCUGUUUUACUCAGUGUUCACAUGCAAUCAUGCAUGCGGCUGAAUAAACUCCCUCUGCUUUGGUACCAGCUCUGAGCAUACAAAUAGGGUAUGACAAAUCUUAAGAGGCAUUUUCAGAACUAUGUGGCAUGAAUGACGCUAAAAGUGAUAAACUACAUGUGCUAAUUAUUACCACACCAGCCCCAUCUAUUAGUAAACACACAUGCCUUUGCCUCGUGAGGUUUCUGUCAUUGGCAUGAGUUCGUGAAUGCUAAUGCGCACACAGCAGACACAUGGUGCCACGAAUUAAGCUCAUGGUAUUUUCCUUGCAUCAGGGGAAAAAAAUCGGUCACAAAAGCUUGCAGGGAUUAAUCAAUAACCAUGACUGCGUAGAAGUUCAGGAGGGAUUCCAACAGUUAAUCUUCAAAUACAGUCACCACUAUUGAGUUUCUCCUGGUUUUAAUGGAAUAAAUAUAUUUUUACCUGGUAACAUUAUGCAUAAAACAGAGACGAUAAGCACCAUCAUGCCCACCCAAUCCAGCCUAUGAAAGGUAACAUUCAGGAUAGUACCCUCACUAUUUAUUACCACUUCAUGCGUUCAUGGUUAUUCGUCUCUAUUUUCCAGGAGACAAGUAACACUAUGUUAGUGCUAAAACUGUUAAACAUAAUCUUACGAUUCUAGCAGCUCCAGGCUAUAGGAAGAAUUAAAAUUCCCAAUACACCGUCGUCCUUAGCAGAUGGCAAAAUAAUCUUGUACAGUAUGUAUGUUACACUGACAGCUAACUUUAAGAACAUCCCCUCCUCACACGCAUUUCUACCAACAGAAGAAAAAAAAAGCGACGCACACCAGAUCCGUGCCAUUUAACAGAUCGUAUUCAAUCCAGCAGAUCAACCUAGACAGGUAAACCGGUAGGGUAGACCUAGAAACAAGAUCCACAUCCAACAACACAAAGCCAGAUCCACGAACCCUAGAUUCAUUCCGUGACCAGGCAAAUCAAACCGGGUCAAGGACGCGAGACAAGGGCUUGAUCGGAUCGGGGAACUUACUGGGCUUCUGCUGCUUCUCGUCGGUCCACUUGGAGAGGGAGAAGUGGACCUUCUCGCGGGAGGAGAGCUCGGUCUUGAAGGGCUCCUUGAGGCAGCUCCGCACCAGCGCCGCGCAGACGUUGGAGUAGCCGAUGUAGGUCAUCCCCGCCGCACGCCAGAAGGGCACCGCCGCCGUCACCGCCGACAUCGUCGUCGCCUCCGCCUCCUCUGCUUCUUUUUUCUUCUCUUCUCUAGGGUAGAAUAGAAUGCUCUUCCUUCCCUCUCUGCUCGAGACGCCGCCGCCGCAGAUAGGGAUGGGGAAAUGGGCUUUGAGGCCCUUUUAUCUUCUCGCUGGGCCUCUUUGCUUCUGCCCAAACGGUCGGGACUCGGGAGCGAAGCCCACCCCGCAGACGGGAAACCUCCCGGUUCGAUUAGUCCCACAUCGCUCGCGGAGCACGGCGGGGCAGGGUCGGACGAGUAUAAAUGGAGGGGCGGGGGCACGGUUGUAAGUCAUACCUUUCUCGGCCUUUUGGCUAAGAUCAAGUGUAGUAUCUGUUCUUAUCAGUUUAAUAUCUGAUAUGUGGGCCAUGCGCCCACAACGAUAUUAAAUUUAUUUUUUAUGGGGGAGGAUCCACCACAGUGGCUUGCUGCUGGGCUCCUCACGCGUUCCCUGGACGUUGCACUGCUGUCCAGGUGUGGCGCACCCCAACCAAAUCUAAAUUAACUAUUUUGAUCGGGUUAAGUUGAGGUGGCUGAAGUAUUAAGGUUUUGAACACUGUUCUACCGGUUGAAUGCCCAUUGCAGCACUCAAGCUAAUGUUGUAUUUAAAAAAUAGGCGAAGCUUUCUUGAAAAAGUAUGGAUUAUUGUUUUGUUUUGUGAACAUAGUACAAGUAAGGAAUAGAUGCAUUAUCGUAUUUAUAUUUCUGAAUAAGUGUCAUUUAUUGCCUCUGACUGUUUCAUGAAAAAAUUGGACGGGACUGAAAUAUUCUGCUGGGCACUGGACAGCUUAGCCAUUUGUGGGUGUGUGAUUUGUCUCACGAUUUUAUAGACCUCUUUCGAAUAUCUUUCUGCCCAUGCAGGCAUUGCCGCAAAUCAUUAUCUUUGAUUUAUAAAAAAUUUAGCAACGGAUAUUCAGGAUUUCAACAAUAAGUAGUUUCUUUUUUCCAUUCGUUACUUAACCCCCUUCACGCACACUAUCGUGUAAGUGCGUUGUAUGCGACGACUCUCUCUACAUGUACGACGAUGAUCGUUCGAGUCAAUAAAUACCAAAUUUUAGUUUAGGCAAUGUACUUUUUUGGAUUCUUUUUAUUCUUAAUUACUUCCUUCGUCCCAAAAUUCUUGUUUUAGGUUUGUUUAGAAACGGAUGUAUCUACCUAAUAAUAAAGCGGCUAUUGCUUCCGUCGGAAAACCCACUACGGAAUUUUUGUAAUAAAGCCCGUGUAAUUUUUGUUAUUCAACCUGCGCUUCAUCAUUUACUGCAACGCAAAAGAAAAAAAUGAUUCGCUGCAAAAAUUAUACCCGUACGCAUCGCCUCCUCCAAUCGACCCUCGGCCACCCUGGCCUGUGCCGAGGCCGCCGCAACACCACUCACCGCUAUGGCCGACCUCAACCACCACCGCUGCCGAUCUCAACCCACCCGCCUCCGCGGGUGUACCUCUCCCCACUCACUGCCCCCGUUGCGGCGCUCGAGCGCAUCGCGUCGACCCUGGUCCACCCUGGCCAGUGCCCAGACCGCUGCCACACCACUCAUCGCCGCGGCCGACCUCAACCACCAGUGAUGUUGAUCUCAACCCACCCACCUCCACGGUCGUACCUCUGCCCGCUUGUUGCCCCCGUUUCGGCGCUCGAGCACAGCUUCUGGAUCAAAUCAACGCGACAACUACAUCGACUUGGGAUGAUGCGUCUGCUCGAUGCAGAACGGCGUCGGCGCGCGGAUAAGGCGCGACGGAGCGAAGUACUUGCAGGUGGAGGCGGGCCUCCAUGGCUCAUACGGGGAACUCCGAGGUUAUGGCGCGGCAACGACGACUCCUUAUGGCCACAUAGAGGCGCCUAACCCCUUGCUCCCCUCAUCGUAUCCCCUCCUCCGUUAGGAACUCAUCAUCUCGUGAGAUGCCCUCCCCAUGCCUCCAACCGUGUGCCAAGCACCGGCAAGAAAUUUUGUUUUGUGGGAAUUUGUUUUGCUGAUGAAUGAAUGUAUUGAAUGUAAGAUUGCAUUGUUGUAGAGAGAGAGAAUGGAACACCACCUUCAGUUUGUCAUCUGAUCCCACAUUCUCUACCCCAUGAGUGAAAUAAGAUAACAGUCCAUUAAUCAAUUCAGGUAGCCUCUUUGUUUUGCUUUGCUUGUCCCGCUCAAUUUCUCAUCAUGAUGGAAUUAACAAUGGACGGGUUGAUUUCUCAACAAAAUAGGAUAGGACUGACUACAUUAGUUAGUUAGCUUAUUAUUUUAAUAAAUCAACAUUAUUAUAAAAAGAUUAAAAGCUUGUGGUAUUUUUUUCUCCCGUUGCAACGCACGGGCCCUUUUGCUAGUUAUUAAAACGUGACUAGAUACAUUCAUAUUUAGACAAAUCUAAGACAAUAAUUUUGGGACGGAGGGAGUACGUACUUUCUAAACUUUAUUUUAUGGCGAAGCACGAACAAGGGCACGUGGCGCCGAGUUUCACGGGUAGAAGGGGAACUUUCGUGGACACCAAGACCUACCAUCGCCUGCCUCAUCUAGGGUUAGGGUUGGCUCCUGCGACAUGGGCGAUCCCCUGCCCUUGUCGUCGUCGCCGCCGGUGCUGCCUAAGGAUGGAAGCCUAUCGGUGUUGAGGGGGGCCUCCCCCCAACGCACGUCUCCGCUGUCUCCGUCGUCAAAGUGUCCUCUUCUACCCCGGACGAGAGGAGUCCGAAGCCUACACGAAGGAAGCCACGCGUUAAACCCUAUUUAUAGGUGCGGCCGGCAGAUCGACCAUAGACGUCCCCGACAACGCAACCCCGAGCCGCCUGACCCCGGCUCCGGAUCGCUUGCCUCGAUGUCGUCUUCAGCGUCGUUUCACGCUGGUGGUGGGGGUGAUCAUGGGGGGCCGGUGAGGUUCCUACCCACCCGAAGCCACCGCGCGAGGGGGGCAUAGUGACGUCGGGAGCUCGGAGGACUCACAAUCUCGGGCAACGUCAGGAAGAAGAGAACAUCAACUGGGAUGCUCGGAGGGCGGGUGGCGGCCUGACGGGGCCCGCUGAAGCACACCUCGGAGGUGAAGUGAUCAUGGACGAUGUGGCCUUUUGUCGUAGUUGAUCAGCGAAUAAAAGUAUACACUCAAGUAUGGAUCAUCAGUACUCUUUUAUGAUUCUUGAGUCCUUAGGGGUCCCGCACUAUUAAGAGGGGAUCACAGGUUUUGCGAUGAACUUGCUCAAAUUACAUCUUCACUUUGUGUUCAGACCACAUCUCCACUGCUCUGCUGUUAUGUGAAAACAGAACCAGUGCCUCGGACAUCCGGCCUCCUCCGGACGUCCGAGGACCGGACGCCCGACAGCUUCGGAAAUCCGGAAUCCUAUACCAGAGAAAUCAGAGCCAUAUAACUCAGACUUCCGGCUACCUCCGGGCGUCCGAGGCCCGGAUGUCCCGCCAAGUCCCGGAAAUCCGGAAGCCUGCACCAGUAGAAGUUGAGCUCUAUAUCUCGGAAAUCCGUCUCCCUCCGGACGUCCGAGCGCCGGACGUCCGACACCCGUCGGAAAUCCGGAACCUACCACCAGUAGAAAUUGUGUUGUAUAACACGGACUUCCGGGCCACUCCGGACGUCCGUAUGUUGAUGAAUUCAAAUAUGUUCACGCACAUCUACAGGCCUCGGACGACCGACCCCUGUCGGACGUCCGGCCGCUGAUGAAUUCAGAAGAGUUCCAGUCAUGCCUACAGGUCUCAGACGUCCGACCUCUGUCGGAUGUCCGGUCCCUCGCGGACGCCCGGACUUCCGACAACUGUCGGACGUCCGGACCCUGUGUGACUUAAAGUGUCCCCAACGGCUCUUUUUCUCUCCCCACUAUAAAUACCCCCCUCCCACUUCGUGAGAGGGUUGCCCAACACAGCCUUAUCCUCAUAAGAACACACUUCCACCUCACACACAUUUGCUCACUCCAAAUCUUAGAUCCCAAGAGCAUUUGUGAGCCCCUUUGAGAGUUGUUCCAAUCGAUAGAUCUUCUCCCUCUCCUUCUCUCAACCCAAACUAUUUGUGAUUUGAUCAAGUUUUGAGCAUUCCCCGUGAUCUUAUUACUCUUGGAGGUUGGAGACUCCUAGGCGGUAGGAGUUCUUCGAAGAGGAAUCAAUUCGUGUGAUUUCCCCCGGAAAAGUUUGUGAGGGUUUGGAAGCCACCUCAAAGGCUUACCACUAGUGGUUGAGAAACGCCUUCGUGGUGUUAUCUCAAAGGGAGAAUAGGGUGAGCCUUCGUGGCGUUGGUGUGCCUUCGUGGUAACAUCCACCUCUCUAACGAUGACUAGCUUCCCUCCAAGGAAGUGAACAUCGGGAUACAUCUUCGUCUCAGUGACCUUGGUUAUCCUUAACCCUAACUCCUUACUUGUGGUUUACUUGUGUUAUUUGAGCAUACAUACAUUGCAUAUUGCUUGUGCUCAUUAUAUUGUGUUGGCUAUUUCUUGUACAAGAUUAAUCAUUCAAGCAUACCCUCUAUAUCCACACGUACAUACUAUCAACCCUUGAUAUAUCGUUUGAUAUAGUGUGAUCUAAUAUCUUGUGUUAUUUACCUACUUGUCGUGUGAUAUAGCUCAAGUAAGUUUGUGUAACUUACUUGUGCUUGUUAGUAACUGCAUUGUGUCCAUCUUGGUAGAUCGUGUUGUUGAUACACGUUGCAGUGCCUAGUGCAUUUAGGAUUUGUGCUUGACAAGUACCCUCUUAGUUUAUUUUCGCAUUAGGUUCAAGCCAAAUCUGAAGAAGUUUUUAAAUAGCCUAUUCACCCCCCCUCUAGGCAUCAUCGAGGUCUUUUCAAUUGGUAUCAGAGCUAGGUCUCUCUUUAAUUAGGUUUCACGACCUUGAGAGUAUCGAUGUCGACUAUUGUAUUAGUGCACAAUGGCAUCUUUGACUUUGAUGGCACAAAUUAUACCCUAUGGAGAAUUUGUAUGCUUCAUCACUUUCGGGCCAUGGGCCCAAAUACUUUACGAAUUAUUCUUGAAGGGAUUGCCGACAAAAAGGAUGAUGCAUCUUCAUCUACUAAUGAAAUGUAUCUUGAUUGCGAGGCUUUUCUUGCCAUUCAUCGAACCAUAAGUCCUGAAGUGUUUAAGUCUAUCUCGACUUGCAAGUCAGCUCAUGAAGUUUGGACUAAACUUGAAGAUAUAUAUGGUGGGUCCAAUCUUGAUGAAGACGGUAUUAUGAUGAAGGAGUUGGUGCAUGAGCUCUUCACUCUUUUCGAUCCUAAAGAGUCCACCACUACUUCCAUAUCCGAUUGCUUGCACACCUCAGCAUCUUCAAUCUCACAAGGUAAUGACAUGGUGAGUGAAGAAAUAUAUGUUGAUGAAAAUGGCUUAGCCUCUAUGGACACGAGCAUAUCUAGCACCACACAUAGUGUAAAUUAUUGUGCUGAUAGGUCAUGCAUUCCACCUAAAGAUUCCUUGACAAAUGUCUGUGGUGAUAUGUCUGCUUCCUCGUGUCCUCUUGAUCAAAAUAUCUUGUUUCUCCCUAGUUGCUCUAUGACUAACCAUUUAGGGGAAUUCAAGAAAUAUGAAGUACUUUUGACUAAUGAAGAAUCUGAUUCACCAAAAGAAUCAUCAUCAAGUCCUCCUGUUCACAUGUACCUCAUGGCAAGAGGUAAUAAUGAGGUAUCAUCUUCCCUGUGCAAUAACGAUGAUAUUUGCGAUGAGGAUGGUGAUGAUGACUUGACUGAAAAUAUCUAUGUGAUCAGUAAAAUUCUUCAUAAAGCUAAAAAUAACUCUCUUCAAAGGUUCCAAGAUGUUCUUGCUUACUUUGAAAAUUGUAAUGAUUCACUUAAUCAUGAACAAGCUAAAAGUGAACAACUUGAACUUGAACUUGAGAAGAGUCAUCAAGCAUGUAGAGACUUAAGAACUUCAAAAGGAGAGAUUGAAGUUGCUCAUGAUAAACUUAAAAAGGAUUUUGAGGUCCUUCUCCUUGAAUGCAAUAAUGUCAAGGGAGAGCUCAUCAAAACCUCUAAGAUCUAUGAGGAGCUUCAAUCUACUCAUGAGAAGUCUCUAUUUGCUACUUACUUCUCUCAUAUUGUUGAUGAUACUUGUACAUCUAACUCUACCUCUUUUGAAGUAUCAACAUUGAAGGAGAAUGUUGAGCUACGUGCUCAACUUGAUUUACUAACUAGCAAUUAUGGGAAGUUGGAAGAAAACCAUGUAAUGCUCACAAGCUCUCAUGCCGAUCUUCUAACAUCCCAUAAUGUGCAAAAGUUAGCUCAUGAGGCUAUCAUCACCAAGGUAACAUCAAGCGAGCCUCAUGUGGACAAUGGCACUACUUCUGGUCAAAGUACUAUAUUUCCAUGUGCUAGUCCUCGUAAUUCGUCUACUCAUAAUGUUGCUACCUCGUGUGAUGAAUUACUUUCCUUGCCUUGUUGCUCUAACAUCGAAGCUUACACUUCCUCUAGUACUUGCAUUGAUACUAACCGUGCAGAGGAAAUCAAAGAGCUCAAGGCCCAAGUCACUUCUUUGAAGAAAGACUUGGAACAGUGUCAUGAAGAGAUGCCCACACUCAACAAUGUCCUGUGUGAGCAAACAUCUCCGAAUGACAAAAAUGAGUUUGGAGUAAACUCAAACAAGAACAAGAGGGGCCUAGAACAAGUCAAUAAUUCGGCCAAAAUCAUUUGCUUCAAGUGCAAAGUUAAAGGGCACCCUGUUAGAUCUUGCCCUCUGAAGACGAAGUCUCAAAGUCACAAGCAACAAGGGAAGCGGCCACAAACUCAAUCACAUAUUCAACUACAAGUUGAAGCAAGGCCUCUUCCCAAUAAGACCCAAACCAACACUCCCCGAGGUGAGAAAUCAACUGCGAAGAAAGAAAAGGGUAGAUGUUGCUACUUAUGUCGUGAGAAGGGUCACGUCGCUUCGUCUUGCACAAGAGGUAACUUAUCCAACCCAAUCACUAUUGAUGAUAUCUAUUCCCUUGGGAAGGAUAAGGUUGGCAAUGUGUUUGCCAAGUUUGUUGGUACUCAAAAUGGUGUCAAGAAAAGAACCAUUUGGUUUGCCAAGCCUAUUGUGAUUAACUUCUUAGGACCCAACGUAGUUGGGGACCAACAAGCUCAAACUUGAUCAAUAGGUGACUAUGGAGGACAUUAGAGACUUGGAUACAUAAUGAAGAAUUAAUGGGUCUUCAUCAUUCAUAUUAUCUCAAGCCAAGUCAUUUGGAUUAUCAAGUUUCUAUCUUAUAUCUAAUGUGCCUCCUUACGGUAACUUAUACUUAAACUGUUUACAUUGUUAGGUGCUUGCCCCCCUUUUGCAUGUUGUGGUUUUGUACCUUGCAUGUGUUUGUAUAUGUUGUGCUUCCAACUUGCUUAUCUUGAGUAAUCAAGUAUGUGUAUGUUGGUUUGCACAUCAUGUACAUGUGAGUCUUGUAUUGAGCCUAUUUGCAUCUUGUCUGUAUUUUUGUUGGCUCUUGUGAGAGAUUAAUGGAUUAUUCCAUUGUGGGGGAGUGAUGUGCUUUGCACACCUCACAAUCCUAUAAAUGUGUAUACAUGGGGAAUACCACUUAGUUUUGAUGCUUCAAGAUUAUCUAGUGUCUAUGUGGUAUGUCUUACUCAUGAGAAAUUCACAUUCUAUAUGGUCCAUUAAGUAUCUCUUGUUGGUUCUAAUUUGCCACUUGUCAAUGUUAUUGGUUUAUCACAUUGUGGGGGAGUAAUAUGCUAUGUGCAUAUUACAAACCUAGAAAAUGUGUACAUUUGACGUAUUGCCACUUAGUGUUGAUAUUGUAAAUUAUCUUGUUCCUAGGUGGCAUGUUAGCUCUACAAGUGACAUUUGCUUGCGUUUUAUGGGUAAAGAUGAUCUUGGAUAUAUUUGUGAUCUACCAAUGAGUAUCAUUUCAAAAAUACUUCUUGUCGUUGACAAUUGGUAUUCCCAUCAUGUGAUUGGAAUUGAUAAUCAUCUUUACAUUGGAUUUUGUGUUUCAUUUGUCUUUCUUGCCUCUUAUGAAUCUAUUUUUAACAUGUCUAGUGUGGUUAUAGAUAUAGAGAAAGUGAUGAUCCCAUCGUGUGAGUGUUGUAUUCAAAUGCAAAUUCUAUAUAAUGCACGUCCCUUGGGGGAGCUAUCCUAUUCUCUUUAAAACACUCUCUUUAUUCACCCAUCAUAAAAUCAUUUGAUCCCCAUCAAGUGUGUGUUGAUGGGAGGCAAGUCUUGCUCUUUAUGAUGCUUUGUGCCAUCAUGAAAAUUUGUAGAGGGCUUUGUUUGUUGGAACCUAGCUCUCUCUUGGAAACUAGAUACUUCGUGUUUGUUUUCCUUCAAUUGGUUUCUUGUUGCCUUCUAAUUGGCACGUGUCAAUGGAUAUCUCAUUCCUUGAUGUAUCUUUUUAAUUGAUAUCUUUCAAGUGAUAGUUCUUUUGUUUUAGGAUCUUAUUAUCACUUGAUACCUUGUCUUUUGGUGACUUAUCAACUUUGUGUUGAUUUGACUCUUAAGAGUCUUGAGCAUGCGUAUCAUAUCUACUUUAUACAACUUCUUUUGCUUGCUUUCCUUCUUUGACCCAAUAUAUAUGGGAAAUUCCACCUUGUCAUAAAUUGGCUAAAGUGUGCAUGAAAUUCAAAUUCAUAUCUAUAUGCACAUAUGUAUGUGGAGUUUGUCCUAUGUAUUGCUGGUUUUCUAACUCUUUGGUCCCAAUGAGUUUGGGCACCAUUUUGUUUGUUUUGUUGUUCCAGGAACAACUGGAGAUGCAUUGGAUGCUCGGCUCACCUAUAAGGAAGAUGUUGAGACCAUGUGAUUGUUGGAGCCAAGUUAGGAUGAUCAAGGAACAACCAUCUACUACAUCAAUCCAAUGUUGUCUCGGUAACAAGUAUCCACUUCAUGCAUUAUUUUCUUGCAAAGGACCCAACCUGUCUUUUCUUUUCCAGGUUGCAUCAUGGCAUGAAUCUCUUUAUUCGUUCAUGUAGUACUUGUUUGCUUUCUCAAAGCAUCCGAACGAUGAUGUCUUACUACUAGUUGGGAUGCCUUUGAUGUUUGUAUGUUGGAAGUUCAUAUUAUACAAUAAGAAAAUAUUUGGCCAUGUGCUAUGCUUCCAAGCAAAAGAUCUCAUUGAUAUAUUUAUGACUUCCUUUUGGAUAUCUAGUUUGUUCCUUCUUGUAACCAUUUCAUGUGUACAUCCUUCUUUGUGGAUAUAUAUCAUCAUGAUUGUCUUCUACUUAGAAUCUUUUACAGAUGAGAGAAGUUACAUCUCUAAUUGAUAUCCUCUUUUCCUUCACGUCCAUCGUUGCAUUUCCUCUUUCAAGUUUUUUUUAUGGCUUCGUGAAAGGAUUUGUUUUGAGUGCGCAUCUUAUUUCUACAUCUUGAUGCACUCUUUGGCAGUGAAGAUUAUUUUUCCUCAUGCUUGUCUUGAUGAGGGUUUUGCCAUUUCAACUAGUAUCCCUUCUAUUGACAAGGUUCUUACUUCCUAUCUUCACAAUGGGUUGUCACAAGCAUUGGUUCUUAUUUUGUUUAUUAGUAAGCUUGUGAACCCAUUUUCUAGUAUGUGUGUGUGGGAAUGAUAUGUCUUGCACUUUGUAUCUCAUAUUCAUCAAGACUAUGUUGAUGAGCAAUGCUCAUCCUUAUCUUAAGUCUUCUCAAGUGCUUUGCCAUGAUUCACACACAUUACUUUGGUUGAGCUUAUUCUUAAGUUGCUUCCUUUACAUGUUGCUCAACCAUUAGUUUUGUGCAAUUGAUAUGCCUAUUGUCUCAUCUAUCGUCUUGCACUCGUCGUGUGUGUCUAUUAAUUCUGGGGGAGCAACGAUCCUAUUUUGUGCACCUGUGUCAAAUACAAAAAUCUCAUAUUAGUGCACAAAUCAUGGGGAGCUUCUCUAGUUUUUGAUAAAGCACUGUGUUGCCUCUAUCAUAAUAUCUUUUAUUCAUGUGGUUCGAAGGACCAUAUGAUUGUUUGUUCCAUCUGGAAUUCUUUGAUUGCUUGCCUCCAUCUUUGUAUGUCUUUGUGGCAUACGAUCCUUUUUUCCUCCAACUACUUAUCAUUGUAUUUGUGUAUUUUUCUGCACUCAUUUGCUGAGAAGUACACACUUUUUUGGAGGACCACCUACUAUUUUGGCUUUCUAAACUUGUCGUCCAUUUUGGCAAUCGAUGCCAAUGGGGGAGAAGUUUAGAGAGUUUACUUUGGAUACGUCUAGAGGGUUUUGCUUUUAUUGCGUAAGCAUUUACAUCUUGCACACACGUACUAUUACCUUGUAUGUGUGCGCUUGGUUAUGCUUAUCUCCUUAUAUAAACUCUCUUGAAGUGGUUGUCUUCAAUUACCAAAAUGGGGGAGAUUGUUAGAGCAUAUAUCUCCAUAUGUGGUUUUGGUAAUUGAUGACAACUCCUAUGGACUAAUGGUUGCUUUAAGUUAUAUUUAUAGGACUUGUCCAUAGGCACUUCGUGAAGUCCAUCUGUUGGGUUCAAGGAGUUUAUAUGUUGACCAAGAUGUUAUUCAAGUUAUUAUCCAAAGAAUGGUCAUAGAAACACUAGGUUGAUCAAGAUCUCAGCCAAAGAGUAAAUCAAUAUGAUCAACACACAAAGCGUAUAAGAUGUACCGAGAGGGAUCAAGUGAUCUCAUAUCUCAGACAAAGAGUAAAUCAAGAUGAUCAACACACAAACCGUAUAAGAUGUACCGAGAGGGAUCAAGUGAUCCCAUGGUAUGGUAAGCAUUGUCCAUUACGUGUUUGUGUACUAACCCAUGGUCUUUAUGAGACUCCUAUGUGGGGGUUAGGUGUGCUUCCACUGGGCUUGCGUCAAAAGGAAGAUCUCAUACAACCCAUGAAGGAUGACGUCAAGUGGUGAUCGUCAUCAAGAUUGUGGUGUGCAAGUUCAAGCGGAUCAGCACGAAUAUAUCAUUGAAACUAUUGUCAAUGAUCAUGUGCUGACAAGGACAACCUCAUGUGCUAACAAGGACAAGAUCAAGAUAAGCAUUCCUGAGCACUACAUGCUUGAUUCUUGUGGAUGUUCACAUGAUGGACAGGACAAGAUCAAGAUAAGAAUUCUUGACAACUUCAUGCUUGAUUCUUGUGGAUGUUCACGUGGUGGACAAAUGAAGAUGAAUACAUAAGCUAGGCUUUCCGCAUUGUGUAUGGGAAAGCUACUUGAAGAGUUCAUCAUGUCUUGCUUUCAACUUGAGCCAAGAAGGAACAACAACAUCAAGCUCAAGUGAAAGGGCUAACUCAAAGGUAUCAGUUCCUUUGACGUUAGUUGUGCGGAGUGAUGAUCAGCGAAUAAAAGUAUACACUCAAGUAUGGAUCAUCAGUACUCUUUUAUGAUUCUUGAGUCCUUAGGGAUCCCACACUAUUAAGAGGGGAUCACAGGUUUUGCGAUGAACUUGCUCAAACUACAUCUUCACUUUGUGUUCAGACCACAUCUCCACUGCUCUGUUGUUAUCUAAAAACAAAACCAGUGCCUCGGACAUCCGGCCUCCUCCGGACGUCCGAGGACCGGACGCCCGACGGCUUCGGAAAUCCGGAAUCCUAUACCAGAGAAAUCAGAGCCAUAUAACUCGGACUUCCGGCUACCUCCGGACGUCCGAGGCCCGGAUGUCCGGCCAAGUCCCGGAAAUCCGGAAGCCUGCACCAGUAGAAGUUGAGUUCUAUAUCUCGGAAAUCCGGCUCCCUCCGGACAUCCGACACCCGUCGGAAAUCCGGAACCUACCACCAGUAGAAAUUGUGCUGUAUAACACGGACUUCCAGGCCACUCCGGACGUCCGUAUGCUGAUGAAUUCAAAUAUGUUCACGCACAUCUACAUGCCUCGGACGACCGACCCCUGUCGGACGUCCGGCCGCUGAUGAAUUCAGAAGAGUUCCAGUCAUGCCUACAGGUCUCAGACGUCCGACCUCUGUCGGACGUCCGGUCCCUCGCGGACGCCCGGACUUCCGACAACUGUCGGACGUCCGGACCCUAUGUGACUUAAAGUGUCCCCAACGGCUCUUUUUCUCUCCCCACUAUAAAUACCCCCUCCCACUUCGUGAGAGGGUUUCCCAACACAGCCUUAUCCUCAUAAGAACACACUUCCACCUCACACACAUUUGCUCACUCCAAAUCUUAGAUCCCAAGAGCAUUUGUGAGCCCCUUUGAGAGUUGUUCCAAUCAAAAGAUAGAUAUUCUCCCUCUCCUUCUCUCAACCCAAGCUAUUUGUGAUUUGAGCAAGUUUUGAGCAUUCCCCGUGAUCUUAUUACUCUUGGAGGUUGGAGACUCCUAGGCGGUAGGAGUUCUUCGGAGAGGAAUCAAUUCGUGUGAUUUCCCCCGGAAAAGUUUGUGAGGGUUUGGAAGCCACCUCAAAGGCUUACCACUAGUGGUUGAGAAACGCCUUCGUGGUGUUAUCUCAAAGGGAGAAUAUGGUGAGCCUUCGUGGCGUUGGUGUGCCUUCGUGGUAACAUCCACCUCUCUAACGGUGACUAGCUUCCCUCCAAGGAAGUGAACAUCGGGAUACAUCUUCGUCUCAGUGACCUUGGUUAUCCUUAACCCUAACUCCUUACUUGUGGUUUACUUGUGUUAUUUGAGCAUACAUACAUUGCAUAUUGCUUGUGCUCAUUAUAUUGUGUUGGCUAUUUCUUGUACAAGAUUAAUCAUUCAAGCAUACCCUCUAUAUCCACACGUACAUACUUGCAACCCUUGAUAUAUCGUGUGAUAUAGUGUGAUCUAGUAUCUUGUGUUAUUUACCUACUUGUCGUGUGAUAUAGCUCAAGUAAGUUUGUGUAACUUACUUGUGCUUGUUAGUAACUGCAUUGUGUCCAUCUUGGUAGAUCGUGUUGUUGAUACACGUUGCAGUGCCUAGUGCAUUUAGGAUUUGUGCUUGACAAGUACCCUCUUAGUUUAUUUCCGCAUUAGGUUCAAGCCAAAUCUGAAGAAGUUUUUAAAUAGCCUAUUCACCCCCCCCUCUAGGCGUCAUCGAGGUCUUUUUAGCAGUGGAUUUCGAGGAGGAGGAGGAAGAAGUAGAGGAAACAGAGAGAUGGAAGCUCCUAGGUUUGUACCGUGCGCAGAAGUGCCCUAGCGCAAAAACUCUGUCCAACCACUUCCAAAAAAUCUGGCAGCUGCGAACAGGUGUGGAGUUUCAACCUAUGGAGAGUAAUCACUUUGUGAUCAAGCUCUUCUCGGAAGGAGAUUUUAACUUUGUGGGCCGCGGAGGUCCAUGGAUAUAUGAUGGUAAUGCCUUGCUGGUAGCUUCGUUCGAUGGCGAUGCUCGCCCCUCUGAAUCAGUCCUUGACUCUGUCUCGGUGUGGGUGCGAGUGUUUGAUGUUCCAUGGAAAAGGCAGACUAGAGCUUAUGGGAGAGCCAUAGGUGGUACCUUAGGCGAAGUAAUGGCGGUGGACGCACCGGAAUCGGGGCAUGCAAUGAAUGAAUUCUUGCGCAUCAGAGUUAAACUACCCUAUAAUCAGAGAUUGCAGAAAGAGGUAAUAUUGGAGUACAAGGUGCAAGGGGCUGUGAAACGCUGCAUAUUCCAGCUCAAAUAUGAGCGGGUCCCACACUUUUGUUUUGAGUGCGGUUUUAUGGGGCAUGAUAAACUUGCUUGUGAGAAGAAGCUUCUGGGGCUCCCUUCGAAGGCAUAUGAUUCCACGCUACGCUGUUCCCCUUACAAAAAAUAUGAACACAUGACAACCUUUACCCCCUCGCCAGGACAGCCACGAGCACGAAGGGGGAUGAGCUUCUCCUUCGGAAGUGCUGGUUCUGCAAAUAACAUCGACCAGCUCAGAUCGAGUGGGAGUAGCAAACCGAAGGAGGAGGAUGGGAUCCCGCAGAGGGUGGAUGCCCAUGAUAAUUUUGAACAAGGGGAAAUACCAUGCUCAGACGCCGUUGAUCAAAAGCUGGCAAAAGAGGUGAACAAUAUAAAGUUGCAUCUAGUAUCGGAGGAACCGAAAUGCAGCAAGAUGCAGAAGCUGAAGGCUUGUUUCACAGCAAAAGCUCCUGUUAAUAGUGGUGUAGAUGGGAGUAAGCAGCGUAAGAAGAAAAGUGCGGUGCCAAAAAAGGGGACAGGGGGAAGAUGCUCGGGCAACCUGGUGAUUCGUGAUGAACCUCUUGGAUUAGAUGAGAUGAUUCCUGCUCUCCGUGGUCUGAGCUUGAUCAGCUCGUUUGGGACGGCAUCUCUAUCCUUGGAUUUGCAUGAUUUUGUCUUGGGCAAGCGUCAGGUGGAUGGAAUGCUAGGAUUCGAACUAGUGGUUGAUGCCACAAAUGCCAUGGUUCCCUAUGUCGCUGCUGAGCCGGGAGGGAUACAAAAGAAAGGGAAAGUGGAUAAGCUAACGGAGGCACACGGAUGUCUGAUGAGCAAAAUACUGGUGGGAGAUAGCGGGGGGUGUGCGGUGGAUAUGGAGGCAACCGGCCAUGGGGCCGCCGGUGAACUGACGGGGCCAUGUGUGGCGCCCCGUCAGGAGCAAUGAAUUGCAUUACAUGGAACUGUCGGGGAGCUGCCAACAAACCGACAGUUCGUGAAUUGACGGGCCUGGUGCAAAAGGCAAAGGCCCGGUUGGUGUUUCUGUGUGAGACCAGACAAAAAACAACAAAGAUGCAGCGUUUAUGUGGUCGACUGGGGCUUAGGGGUUUUGCUGGUUCUGAUAGUGAGGGACUUAGUGGUGGUCUGGCGCUCUUCUGGUGUGAAAAGCUUUGUGUGGAUGUUAAAGAAGUGAAUGAAAGAUUUAUUGAUGUUUAUAUUCGCUCUUCUUUGUCAGAAUCGGAAUGGAGACUUACGUGUGUGUAUGGGGAGCCGAGGGUGGAAAAUAUACACCAUAUGUGGACCUUGAUGCAGAACCUGAAAUUGAACUCGGAUUUGCCCUGGUGUGUCAUGGGUGAUUUUAACGAAGCAAUGUGGUCCUUUGAACACUUGUCCGUGUCCCCUCAUGGAGAUCAACAAAUGCUAGCUUUCCGGGAGGUUUGUGGUCUCCAAGACUUGGGGUUCUCCGGCCUGCCCUUCACAUAUGAUAAUAAGCGUGAAGGACGAAGGAACGUCAAGGUCCGCUUGGACAGGGUGGUUGCGGAUAACGCGUGGCGAGAUAUGUUCUCUGACGCGGCGGUCUCCCACUUGAUUAGUGCAUGUUCUGAUCACCUUCCUGUCCUUUUAUGCUGUGAAAAGGAACCUGACAAGAACUGGAGACCAGCCCAUAAGCAAUAUGAGAUAGCUUGAGAAAGAGAACCGAGUUUGCAAGAGAGAAUUGAUACAGGUUGGGCAGAGGCAGGCAGGAUGGCUCAUCUGGGGGAUGUUCGACAAGGUUUGUGCCAGCUUAUGAAUAAACUUCAAGUCUGGAGUAAGGAGAAAUUUUGCCAUGUAACCCAGGAGCUGGAAAAAAGUAGAUCAAGGCUGGAGGAGCUCCUUAAUAUGAAUGCUGGUAGAAAUGAGAUACGGAAAGUCACGGAUCAUAUGAAUGAGCUACUAUAUCGUGAGGAGCUCCUUUGGAUGCAGCGGUCCAUAGUGGAUUGGCUGCGGGAUGGUGACCAGAACACCAAGUUUUUCCACCGGAAAGCAGUCUGGCGUGCCUGCAAAAACCGUGUCAAAACCCUUAUGGACGAUCAAGGGGUCGAGCACAGCGAUCCGAAGGUUAUGGGCAGUAUGGUUAAUGCUUAUUUUCAGGAGCUAUUCACGGCGGAGGAACACCUCAUAACGGCACCUGUCAUAGACCUUCUCGAACCAAAAGUCUCGCAAGAUAUGAAUAAUAGUCUAUGCAAGGAGUUUACGAAGAAAGAAAUCUCGGAUAGCCUAUUCCAAAUUGGACCCCUUAAAGCUCCGGGAGUGGAUGGUUUUCCAGCAAGAUUCUUUCAGAAGAAUUGGGCUGUUAUGAAGGAGGACAUCAUUGUAGCGGUGAAACGUUUCUUCAGCACCGGGGUGAUGCCACAGGGUGUGAACGAGACGGCCAUUGUGCUUAUCCCCAAGGUAGACGACCCCAAUCGCCUUAAGGACUUCCGGCCCAUCAGCUUAUGUAACGUCGUGUACAAGAUCGUCGCAAAGUGCCUGGUUAAUCGGCUUCGCCCAGUCCUUGAUGAGAUUAUUUCACCAGCACAGUGCACAUUUGUCCCAGGCAGAAUGAUUACUGAUAAUGCAUUACUGGCUUUUGAGUGCCUACAUUUCAUGCACCAGGACAAAAACACGGAGGACAGUUUCUGUGCUUAUAAGCUGGAUCUCUCCAAGGCCUGUGACAGGGUUGAUUGGAGCUUUCUGCGACAAGUUAUGAAAAAGUUGGGUUUCUCUAAUCAAUGGAUACAAUGGAUCAUGGCUUGUAUUACGUCGGUGAAAUACUCUGUCAAAUUCAACGGCUCCAUGUUGAACUCGUUCACACCCUCGCGGGGGCUUCGACAAGGUGAUCCCCUGUCCCCCUUUCUAUUCCUGUUUGUCGCUGAUGGACUCUCCGCUCUACUUAGACAUGGAGUAGAAUCAAACAACCUUCAUCCAGUCAAAGUUUGCCGAAGGGCCCCAGGAGUCUCUCACCUCUUAUUUGCCGACGACACCCUCCUCUUCUUCAAGGCAAACCAAGCACAAGCCACGUUUGUAAAAGGUGUCAUCCAGAGCUAUGAGCAAGCUACGGGUCAGCUGAUUAAUACCCAGAAAUGCUCCAUUCAAUUUGGAGAGGCCUGCCCAGUAGUAAAACAAGAACAAGUGCGACAGAUCCUUGAUGUUCAAAUGGAAGAAUUUGAAGGAAAAUACCUGGGCCUUCCAACACCUGAUGGUAGGAUGCACCGGGGGAAGUUCCAAAAAUUGCAAGAAAGCCUCACACGACGUAUUCUGGAGUGGGGGGAUACUCUCUCUCAAGCAGGGAAGGAAACGAUGAUCAAGUCUGUUGCCCAGGGUAUUCCCACAUACAUUAUGGGGGUGUUCAAACUGCCUGCCUCUGUCUGCGAGGAUCUGUCUCGAUUAGUACGAAACUUUUGGUGGGGUGCUAAGGAGGGAAAGAGGAAAACACAUUGGAAGUCUUGGGAUAAAGUCUGCGAAUCAAAAAACAGAGGCAGACUAGGAUUCCGAGACUUCUGUUUGUUCAAUCAAGCUCUUCUUGCGCGACAGGCUUGGAGUCUACUAACCAGACCGGAGUCCCUGUGUGCACAGGUUAUCAAGGCAAAGUAUUACCCAAAUGGCGCCCUGGUGGACACGGUUUUCACUGGAAAUGCAUCACCAACAUGGCAAGCCAUCACCUAUGGGCUGGAUCUGCUCAAACGAGGUAUUAUCUGGCGAGUUGGAACCGGUGAGCAGAUCAGGAUUUGGAGGGAUCCAUGGAUUCCUAGACCACAUUCUUAUCGUCCUAUCUCAAUCAGAGGGAACUGCCGCCUUCGGAGGGUGUCUGAGCUCCUGGAUGAUCACGGACGCUAGCAUCUGGAAUCCCUGAACCGAUAUUUCUUACCAAUGGAUGUCCAGGACAUAAGUGAGAUCAGGACCUUCACAAAUCGGCUUGUCCAAGACGUCUUGGCGUGGGCGCCAGAUCCAAAAGGUGUCUUCUCAGUACGCUCGGCUUACCACCUCGCACAUGAGGAGAAACUUCGGGCAUCUAGGGAGGCGUCAAGUAGAGCACCAGAUGGUACUCGAGCUAUUUGGAAGGUGCUCUGGGGAUGCAUGGCCCCUCCAAAGGUGCGGGUGUUUGCCUGGAGGGUUGCAACAAACUCCCUUGCUACGGUUGCAAACCUGCUACGGCACAACAUGGGAGUGACAGAUACCUGUGUCAUUUGCGGUAAGGAGCGAGAAGACACCUUCCAUGCUCUAUGUACAUGCCCCUUGGAGCAAUGUUUAUGGAGAGACAUGGCGAAAUCCUAGAACAUGCCGAAGUUGGAAGAUAUACAGAACACAGGGACUGAGUGGCUGCUGCAUCUGCUGGACCAGUGUAAGCCUGAUCAACGCUACCUGUUCUAAUGACACUUUGGCGGAGUUGGCACGUCCACAAUGAACUUACUCAUGGCAAACAGGCACCGCCGACUGAAGCCUCCACGCGUUUCCUGUCCAGCUAUAUCCAAACGCUCCAGUGCAUAAAACAGUUUCCGAGGGGUGAUCUUGUCAAAGGAAAAAUGGUGCCCUCCCACCAGGGGAAGCUAAUAGCAAAUCAGAAGGAGGAGGUGCAACCAAAGGACCGGGUGCAACGGUGGACUAAGCCACCCCCUGGAUGGACCAAAUUAAACAUCGAUGGGGCCUUUUCUGAAGGUAACAAAAUUGGGGGUGCAGGAAUGAUCCUUCGGGACGAGGAAGGACAAGUCAUAUUCUCGUCUUGCCGCUAUCUCCGUACUUGCUCCCCGGCUCUCAAAGCGGAACUGGCGGCUUGUCUGGAGGGGAUCUUCAUAGCGCGCCCUGGAGUGAGCUGCCCAUGAUUGUUGAAUUGGAUUGCUCGUGCGCGGUCCAGAUGAUCGUCGAGGAAGGAAUUGAUAGAUCACCGCAUGCAAUCUUGGUGAUGCAGCUCAAACAAGCCCUUGGGGAGAUAGGAGAACAUGUGACAUCGCAUGUGGUUAGGAGUAGGAAUGCUCUAGCGGAUGCUCUUGCUCGGCUUGGACGUAUAAAUCAUCGUACGGCUGUAUGGCUACGUGGUAUACCUGAGGAGGUUGACACCUUAUGUAAGGAGGACUCGGUUGGUUAAUCAAUAUAUUUUUCAUUCGCAAAAAAAGGGCAUGUGGCGCCGUUGUUGCCACGAAGUAGACGGCUUCAACUGUGUACAAAGCAUCCAUCGUGGCUCGUCGUACUAAGAUUGCAACUGUGUUGUCAAGAUGAUUUGGGUUCGUCCAAUUCGGUUGUCGCAACGGAGAGUAUAAUUAGGCAACAUUCUUAUCGUUGUAUGACAUGGAGGACGUUGUGCACGCGUGCCUAAAUGAGCUUGCGACGGAUGCAUCUUCCUUUUCUUCCACAACGCUCGCGACGCAAAAAACACUCUAUCGAGCACCACGAUUUUAUCUCCACCCCUCCACUAAGGCAAUACAAUAGCCAUGGAGGUGGAUGAAUAUGCAUUCCUCUGCACCGACGACGGUGAGUUGUUCCACCUCAUAUGCGCGGGACAUGGCACACCGACACUGCGUUGUCCAUGUCUGGAGGAGGCAAGACGACCUCAUCGACGUAGCCAAGGGAACCUGCUCCAAUGACAAUCACCCACCAUAGUUGAGUCAAAGCACUACGAAUGUAAGACUCCAUAGCUAGUUUCCAUUUAGCAAAUGUGUUAGCUCUCAAAGGGGCCAAGCCCCAAAAUGAUUAAUGUGUGGGUGCGGAAUCGGUUGAGAUUCAACAACAUUGUACUUAGGAACGAGUGUGCAAGCGGGGGAUGCAAGGGGUUCUCUCGAGCCAUCCACGUCUUGAAGUACAUUUAGAUCAAAUGGACUAGUUGCGGACGAUGAAGCCUUUAUGUGUGCGUCCACUUUGUCCUUGACCGAGAAGUGAACUGCUUUCAACAUUACUGAUUUAAAAUCCACGAACAUUGAAAGGUUGGCUGCCGCAGUAAAGGUAGGAGCGAGACCAAUGUGGGAUGUGUCGGCGACAGGGGGGUUGUUGGACCCCUUCCACAAGGAGUGGCUCGCCACCCACAUCCUCAUGACCUUCCAUACCCUCUUUAGACGGUUAAGCCCAAUAAGAGAGUUGAGGCUCUUACAACAACUUAAAGAAUUGAUACGGUCGACUAGAGGGGGUGAACAGGAGACUACAAAUUUAAGCUUAGCUACAAAUUUUAGGGAUUCAUGAAUAAAUAGGUUCUCGAGAUACGCGUCCAGAUGAGCACAACUUAUAUGGCAAGCAAUAUAAGUUUCAAAUCACCCGCGGUUGGUCUUGAAGGCGACUAGCACGCCUUUACAUACGUCUAUGGAGCACACCACAAGGAAGGAACCUUUCGGAGGAACCUCAGCUGCGCAGGAGCCCAAGCUCCAAGAGUAACAAGUUGUUGGUGAGAAAAAUCUUGCAAGGAACACGAAUCAAUUUGGUCAAAGUUUAGAUUGGGCCUUGCUCACUCAAGACGAAGUCAUGUUUAAAACUCCACAGAAUUGAUAUGUGGACUAAAUGGAUAAAACGAGAGCCACAUACCAAAUUACACAAUUACUAUGCAUGCAAUUCUUUUAUAGGAGAAUUAAACCCAAUUCAAAUAUUUGAUGAUUUUAUUUAAAGCCCAAAAAUAAAUGCUUUAAGCCUAUAAAAUUAUUGGUUUGAAUUUUUGCUCUUGCCAAUAUUUUCAAGGUUUAACAAGAACAUUUUCUUGGGCUCAUUUGAAGAGAUUCUUAAUUUGAUAAUUUCAAAAAAUGAUUUCCAAGGCUUUGAGGAUUCCCUUAAUUCAAUUUUCAUUGAAAUAAAUAUGAUGCAUGAUUCUCUCUAGUAUAAUUAUUUUCAGGCAAGUAUUCUAGGGUUGUGACACUUGAACAGUUUUUCCACAACAUCUUUGUGAGUGAUAUCAUCGACACCUGUUGGCGUAAGCGCUCAACAAGACUGCUUUGGCGGUCGGUGAGUUCCACCACACUUUCUCUUCGAAGACUUCUCAAAUGAAUGUACUUUGCGAGAAGAUGUUUGCGAGAACAACAGAUUUGGCAGCGGAUUCAUCGUGAACAUUUUUUAUGGCAUCCCAGAUUUGUUUGGCUGUUUCAAGCCUCCGGAAUCGAAUAAAAAUAUUUUUGGAGAUGUUGUCGUAGAUGAUAUCCUUCGCUUGAGCAUCUAAGUGAAUGUUGGCUUCAUUUUCAUGAGUGGGUGUUUGUGGAUUUGGAAUAGUAUAUUUGUAUUCCACAAUCUUCCGUAACUUUAAUCUCAAGGCUUGAAGCUUGACUUUCAUUGUACUUUGCUAGUAUUGAUAAUCAUUUCCAUUGAAGGUAGGAAUUUCUUCACACUGUGUGGAUCUACGUGGAAGCGACAUACUCAAAACUCCAAGGCGACUUGACCUUUAAUAAACAGAGACAAGGAGACCUUGAUCUGAUACCAUUUGUUAGGACUAAGAGUAUACCAACCAGAGGGGGUGAAUGGGAGAUUCAAAUUUUCUUUUGAAACUUCGAAUCAAAACCACAUCAAACAACGGAAUAGAUAGAAUAGUGAAGGUAAAUGAUCAAAGCACAUACAAACAAUAAACUACAUGGGUAAAUCAAAGCUUUCGAUGAAGGAUGUGAUAAUCUUCUUUGCAUAAUAGUUCGAGGCUUACGCAAUGACAAUGGUGGCACAUAACGACAUCAAAACAGACAACUGGCUAGGAAGUCAUUGAAUGGAAGCAGAGCAGCCAGCUAUAUGAGACACAUAAUAUCGAGUAAAUGAUAGCACCUAAACUAAAGCGAGCACGAAUAGAAUUAUUAUAGAUACAUGAUCAUGGAUACCAUACAAAGUAUACAACACAGAAAUAAACUAGUGAACAAAUUGCAAUAGAAGAAGACUUGAAUCGGUGGUGCUCGAUGGCGGUAGAUGAUUUGGUAGACUAGUUCACUCUUUUGCAGAACAUCGACGUCUGAUUGGAGGUACUUGUGAUUGAACACGGGACUAGACCUCUCUCCAUUCUAUUUUCCUUCAAUUUAAAGUAGAUUAGACUUUGAUUGAAUUCACUCGGGGUAGAUACUUGUUAGUGAUGUCCAAACCUUUGACACAGUUCUUUGCAAAAUCACAAUUACUCUUGGUUGCUGAAGACUUUGCUUGGUGAAUACAAUUACUCUUCGACACUCAAGUCGACUCCAUCUAGAGAGUGUGGAGCUCUCAAGAGUAAUAGGUACAAGAAUUCUAACUCAGAUGCGUUAUGAUGCUCAACCACUAUCUAAGUUUUGGCUCUAGAUUUUCUAUCAAUUGAUUUUAAACUCAAUUCUCUCGAGAGGGUGAUCAAUAAACCUUCCCAAAAUCACAAGGAGUAACCAACAGACAACGUUGGUGCAGGGUGGCUAUUUACGGCGGCAUCCUUCCCAUGAGGGAAAUAACCAAACUGAACACGAAACCCCCAAUGGCCAACCAACACAUUUCCAAUGGUCAAAUUUUGAGAAUAACGGUAACUUUCCUUGCGGAGCAGGUAAAGCUAACUCCUCGGCCCGAUAGAUAUCUCUUGUGGCGAAGAAGAACUAUAUAUCUUGUUGAAAAGUAAUCAUUCGGAGCACAAAGAGAUUUCUCUCAGUCUUCCAUAGGUUUCGGCUAACCAUCAGAACUGACCUAAGCUUCGAGAACAUAUAACCCUCUUAAUAGUGUUAAUAGUACAAUGGUCAUGUUGGAUGUAAGCCCUAGAUGCAAUAAUAUUGUAUUAUUAUAUUUUUGUAUUCAUAACUGAGAGUUUAUAUUCUAUGUUAUAACUACUAUGAUAAUGGAAUAUGUGAUUCAGUGGAAAACUCAUAUGCGUGUGUGGAAUGAUAAACGGGAAAAUAAGAUCCCUAGUAUCACCUCUAAGACUGGCUCAAGUGUUGUUAGUGAUCAUGUUUUUCGGAUCUUAGGAUAACGUUAGGUGUAACAUUAGAAGAUCGACCAUAUUGAAUCGAGCGAUGACCUGUUUGUUAUACUUUGAGAUAAUGUCAUUUGAAAUCAAUUCUUAUAACACGGGAGUGUUAACACGUGUUUUAGUUCCUUAGACCAUGAAGUAUCGUAUUCACAUCUUAUUGUAUGGCGAACUUCGGGGUUGCUUAAACGUCAUUUGUAACUAGGUGAUCAUAACGACAACUCAUACGUCUCCAAUGUAUCUAUUUCUCCAAACACUUUUGCUCUUAUUUUUGGCCUCUAAUUUGCAUGAUUUGAAUUGAACUAACCUGGACUAACGCUAUUUUGAGGGAACUACCUUGGUGUUAUUUUUGUGCUGAAAUAAAAGUUCUCGAAAUCAGACGAAACUUUUUGUGAAUUAUUUUUUGGGAUUUAUAAGGAUUUACGAAGCAAAGACCUUCGGAGGUGAAGUGCGAGGGGGCCACAAGCCAUUAGGGCGCCCCCAUGCCGCGAGCUGAUGGCUUGUGGGGACCUCGAGGCUCCUCUGACACAAAUUCCAGUCCUAUAAAUUCAUAUUCUCCGAGAAAAAAAUAGGACGUUAAGACGACUUUCCUGAACGUUAAGACACAAGUGGUUAUUUUAGCCCUAGUAGUACUAGUUAUAUGCGUAGAUGAUAUAACUCGUUUAUCCCGCUCCUGUUUAUUUUAGCCCUAGUAGUACUAGCAAUAUGCGUAGAUGGUUUUGCUAUAUGCGUAAUAUUUGCUAGUCUUCUUCGUGAUCAGUAUGUCAUGAAUCUAGUCAAUGCCAUGUUAGUAAUUAUUUCAUGGAUUAAUCUACUCGGCAAAUUGCCUAUUUACUCAACAAUCCAAAAACCUAAUAUGUGUAGGAAUUUUCCGAGUAAUGGUUUUGCCGCUGCACUGAAACAUGAUAAGUUUACCGGUACUUAUUUCCCCACACGGUACUCAUUGGUUACCCCAAGUGGAAGGUUAAGAUGUAGUCAGUAGCAAGUUUUCCCUCACACGGCAACUGUAAGGUUUAUCGAACCAGGAGGACUCCUAGGCUCAACAAGUAGGUGUCUUCCACCCUAGUGCUAGCAGAAGACGUGGACCUGCACACACAACAAAUAACUUUGCUCUCAACGAGUACAGAGAGGUUGUCAAUCUCUCCGGUCUUGUAGUUUGCAAAGGAUCAAAACACAAGCGGGAAAGUAAUAGUGAUUGCAACAGAAAAGUAAAUGAAAGCAGUAAAUGAUGGAGGUGUAAACAAUGAUGGUGAUAUGGACCAGGGUCACAUGAUGUUCACCAGUGAUGUCUCUCUCCCAAAAGACGAUAAACAACUAUGCUUGGGUACACAAAUCACAGUUGGGCAAUUGACAAAAUUAUGAACGCACCUCAAUGCUAAUUAUGGUACUUGAUAGUUAGAGGUUCAAUAGUAAUGGACAGUACGCCAAGACAAGUAGACCAUUUAUUCAUCAGCAUCAACUUACUAAUCAUCCACCUUGAGAUAUCUAUCUAGAACAUCUUGUCGGUAUUAAGUUGCGAGCCCCACCCAAAGUGUAAACUCAAAGCAACGAACAACUGCAUUAACGAACUACGCGUAAGGUAAACAAUCCUUGCAACCGUGGUCACAAGCACCGUUGUUUUCUCCCUGGUGGCAACAACACAUCCCCUAGUCUCAUGUUUCUGUCACUCAAGCUAGACAUCGAGGGGCAUGAACCCACAAUCAUGCAUAACGCUCCCUCUUGGAGUUACAAUCUACUACUCAAGCAAAGCAAUAAAUAGCAACAGAGAACAUGCAUGGAUCACUAAGGAACAUAAUAUAAAAGGAUAAUCGAAUAUAUAACUCAUAACAAUAUGAACAUAAUCUCAUAAUCCAUCGGAUCCCAACAAAUCGAGCAUAGCAAUAGCAAGAGAAUUACAUAGAUGCCUUGAUCAUGUAGGACAGCUCACAAAGACUAACCAUUGAAGCAAAAGAUUGGAGAGAAGACAUCACAUAGCUACUGGUCAUGGACCCAUGGUCUAAGGAGGACUACUCAGGGCACGUCCGGGAAGCGUCCAUGGCGGUGGAGAAGCUUCCGGAGGUCAAUCCUCCCUCCGGCAGGGUACCAGGAAGAGGUCUCCCGACGCUCCCGAUCUCAAAAGCGUUGCGGCGGCAGAAUGAUGGAGAAAUUCGCAAUUCUGGAAGUUAUGGAAGGAUUUACUCUCAAGAGUCUAAAUAUAGGCCAAAGGAGGGCACCGAAGGAGGUGGGGCCCACCCAAGCGGCUUCUUGGCGCGACCAGGGGGUAGNNNNNNNNNNNNNNNNNNNNNNNNNNNNNNNNNNNNNNNNNNNNNNNNNNNNNNNNNNNNNNNNNNNNNNNNNNNNNNNNNNNNNNNNNNNNNNNNNNNNAUACAUCUUCGUCUCAGUGACCUUGGUUAUCCUUAACCCUAACUCCUUACUUGUGGUUUACUUGUGUUAUUUGAGCAUACAUACAUUGCAUAUUGCUUGUGCUCAUUAUAUUGUGUUGGCUAUUUCUUGUACAAGAUUAAUCAUUCAAGCAUACCCUCUAUAUCCACACGUUCAUACUUGCAGCCCUUGAUAUAUCGUGUGAUAUAGUGUGAUCUAGUAUCUUGUGUUGUUCACCUACUUGUCGUGUGAUAUAGCUCAAGUAAGUUUGUGUAACUUACUUGUGCUUGUUAGUAACUGUAUUGUGUCCAUCUUGGUAGAUCGUGUUGUUGAUACACGUUGCAGUGCCUAGUGCAUUUAGGAUUUGUGCUUGACAAGUACACUCUUAGUUUAUUUCCGCAUUAGUUUCAAGCCAAAUCCGAAUAAGUUUUUAAAUAGCCUAUUCACCCCCCUCUAGGCGUCAUCGAGGUCUUUUCAAUUGGUAUCAUAGCUAGGUCUCUCUUUAAUUAGGUUUAUCGACCUAGAGAGUAUCGAUGUCGACUAUUGGAUUAGUGCACAAUGGCAUCUUUGACUUUGAUGGCACAAAUUAUACCCUAUGGAGAAUUCGUAUGCUUCAUCACUUUCGGGCCAUGGGCCCAAAUACUUUACGAAUUGUUCUUGUAGGGAUUGCCGACAAAAAGGAUGAUGCAUCUUCAUCUACUAAUGAAAUGUAUCUUGAUUGUGAGGCCUUUCUUGCCAUUCAUCGAACCAUACGUCGUGAAGUGUUCAAGUCUAUCUCGACUUGCAAGUCAGCUCAUGAAGUUUGGACUAAACUUGAAGAUAUAUAUGGUGGGUCCAAUCUCUAUGAAGACGGUAUUAUGAUGAAGGAGUUGGUGCAUGAGCUCUUCACUCUUUUCGAUCUUAAAGAGUCCACCACUACUCCCAUAUCCGAUUGCUUGCACACCUCAGCAUCUUCAAUCUCACAAGGUAAUGACAUGGUGAGUGAAGAAAUAUAUGUUGAUGAAAAUGGCAUAGCCUCUAUGGACACGAGCAUAUCUAGCACCACACAUAGUGUAAAUUAUUGUGCUGAUAGGUCAUGCAUUCCACCUAAAGAUUCCUUGACAAAUGUCUGUGGUGAUAUGCCUGCUUCCUCGUAUCCUCUUGAUCAAAAUAUCUUGUUUCUCCCUAGUUGCUCUAUGACUAACCAUUUAGGGGAAAUCAAGAAAUAUGAAGUACUUUUGGCUAAUGAAGAAUCUGAUUCACCAAAAGAAUCAUCAUCAACUCCUCCAGUUCACAUGUGCCUCAUGGCAAGAGGUAAUGAUGAGGUAUCAUCUUCCCUGUGCAAUAACGAUGAUAUUUGCGAUGAGGAUGAUGAUGAUGACUUGACUGAAAAUAUCUAUGUGAUCAAUAAAAUUCUUCAUAAAGCUAAAAAUAACUCUCUUCAAAGGUUCCAAGAUGUUCUUGCUUACUUUGAAAACUGUAAUGAUUCACUUAAUCAUGAACAAGCUAAAAGUGAACAACUUGAACAUGAACUUGAGAAGAGUCAUCAAGCAUGUAGAGACUUAAGAUCUUCAAAAGGAGAGAUUGAAGUUGCUCAUGAUAAACUUAAAAGGGAUUUUGAGGUCCUUCUCCUUGAAUGCAAUAAUGUCAAGGGAGAGCUCAUCAAAACCUCUAAGAUCUAUGAGGAGCUUCAAUCUACUCAUGAGAAGUCUCUAUUUGCUACUUACUCCUCUCAUAUUGUUGAUGAUACUUGUACAUCUAACUCUACCUCUUUUGAAGUAUCAACAUUGAAGGAGAAUGUUGAGCUACGUGCUCAACUUGAUUUACUAACUAGCAAUUAUGGGAAGUUGGAAGAAAACCAUGUAAUGCUCACAAGCUCUCAUGUCGAUCUUCUAACAUCCUAUAAUGUGCAAAAGUUAGCUCAUGAGGCUAUCAUCACCAAGGUAACAUCAAGCGAGCCUCAUGUGGGCAAUGACACUACUUCUGGUCAAAGUACUAUAUUUCCAUGUGCUAGUCCUCGUAAUUCGUCUACUCAUAAUGUUGCUACCUCAUGUGAUGAAUUACUUUCCUUGCCUUGUUGCUCUAACAUUGAAGCCCACACUUCCUCUAGUACUUUCAUUGAUACUAACCGUGCAGAGGAAAUCAAAGAGCUCAAGGCCCAAGUCACUUCUUUGAAUAAAGACUUGGAACAGUGUCAUGAAGGGAUGCCCACACUCAACAACGUCCUGUGUGAGCAAACAUCUCCGAAUGACAAAAAUGAGUUUGGAGUAAACUCAAACAAGAACAAGAGGGGCCUAGAACAAGUCAAGAAUUCGGCCAAAAUCAUUUGCUUCAAGUGCAAAGUUAAAGGGCACCAUGUUAGAUCUUGCCCUCUGAAGACGAAGUCUCAAAGUCACAAGCAACAAGGGAAGCGGCCACAGACUCAAUCACAUAUUCAACUACAAGUUGAAGGAAGGCCUCUUCCAAUAAGACCCAAACCAACACUCCCCAAGGUGAGAAAUCAACUGGGAAGAAAGCAAAGGGUAGAUGUUGCUACUUAUGUCGUGAGAAAGGUCACGUUGCUUCGUCUUGCACAAGAGGUAACUUAUCCAACCCAAUCACUAUUGAUGAUAUCUAUUCCCUUGGGAAGGAUAAGGUUGGCAAUGUGUUUGCCAAGUUUGUUGGUACUCAAAAUGGUGUCAAGAAAAGAACCAUUUGGGUUGCCAAGCCUAUUGUGAUUAACCUCUUAGGACCCAACGUAGUUGGGGACCAACAAGCUCAAACUUGAUCAAUAGGUGACUAUGGAGGACAUUAGAGACUUGGAUACAUAAUGAAGAAUUAAGGGGUCUUCAUCAUUCAUAUUAUCUCAAGCCAAGUCAUUCAGAUUAUCGAGUUUCUAUCUUAUAUCCAAUGUGCCUCCUUACGGUAACUUAUACUUAAACUGUUUACAUUGUUAGGUGCUUGCCCCCUUUUGCAUGUUGUGGUUUUGUACCUUGCAUGCGUUUGUAUAUGUUGUGCUUUCAACUUGCUUAUCUUGAGUAAUCAAGUAUGUGUUGCUUUGCACAUCAUGUACAUGUGAGUCUUGUAUUGAGCCUAUUUGCAUCUUGUCUGUAUUUUUGUUGGCUCUUGUGAGAGAUUAAUGGAUUAUCCCAUUGUGGGGGAGUGAUGUGCUUUGCACACCUCUCAAUCCUAUAAAUGUGUAUACAUGGGGAAUACCACUUAGUUUUGAUAUUUCAAGAUUAUCUAGUUUCUAUGUGGUAUGUCUUACUCAUGAGAAAUUCAAAUUCCAUAUGGUCCAUUAAUUAUCUCUUGUUGGUUUCAAUUUGCCACUUGUUAAUAUUGUUGGUUAUCACAUUAUGGGGGAGUAAUAUGCUAUGUGCAUAUUACAAACCUAGAAAAUGUGUACAUUUGAGGUGUUGCCACUUAGUGUUGAUAUUGUAAAUUAUCCUGUUCCUAGGUGGCAUAUUAGCUCUACAAGUGUCAUUUGCUUGCGUUUUAUGGGUAAAGAUGAUCUUGGAUAUAUUUGUGAUCUACUAAUGAGUAUCAUUUCAAAAAUACUUCUUGUCCUUGACAAUUGGUAUUCCCAUCAUGUGAUUGGAAUUGAUAAUCAUCUUUACACUGUAUUUUGUGUUUCGUUUGUCUUUCUUGCCUCUUAUGAAUCUAUUUUUUAACAUGUCUAGUGUGGUUAUAGAUAUAGAGAAAGUGAUGAUCCCAUCGUGUGCGUUUUGUAUUCAAAUGCAAAUUCUAUAUAAUGCACGUCCCUUGGGGGAGCUAUCCUAUUCUCUUUAGAACACUCUCUUUAUUCACCCAUCAUAAAAUCAUUUGAUCCCCAUCAAGUGUGUGUUGAUGGGAGGCAAGUCUUGCUCUUUAUGAUGCUUUGUGCCAUCAUGAAAAAUUGUAGAGGGCUUUGUUUGUUGGAACCUAGCUCUCUCUUGGAAACUAGAUACCUCAUGUUUGUUUUCCUUCAAUUGGUUUCUUGUUGCCUUCUAAUUGGCAUGUGUCAAUGGAUAUAUCAUUCCUUGAGGUAUCUUUUAAUUGAUAUCCUUCAAGUGAUAGUUCUUUUUGUUUUAGGAUCUUAUUAUCACUUGAUACCUUGUCUUUUGGUGACUAAUCAACUUUGUGUUGAGUUGAUUCUUAAGAGUCUUGAGCAUGCGUAUCAUAUCUACUAUAUACAACUUCUUUUGCUUGCUUUCCUUCUUUGACCCAAUAUAUAGGGGGAAUUCCACCUUGUCAUAAAUUGGCUAAAGUGUGCAUGAAAUUCAAAUUCAUAUCUAUAUGCACAUAUGUAUGUGGAGUUUGUCCUAUGUAUUGCUGGUUUUCUAACUCUUUGGUCCCAAUGAGUUUGGGCACCAUUUUGUUUGCUUUGUUGUUCCAAGAACAACUGGAGAUGCAUUGGAUGCUCGGCUCACCUAUAAGGAAGCUGUUGAGACCAUGUGAUUAUUGGAGCCAAGUUAGGAUGAUCAAAGAACAACCAUCUACUACAUCAAUCCAAUGUUGUCUCGGUAACAAGUAUCCACUUCAUGCAUUCUUUUCUUGCAAAGGACCCAACCUGUCUUUUCUUUUCCAGGUUGCAUCAUGGCAUGAAUCUCUUGAUUUGUUCUGGUAGUACUUGUUUGCUUUCUCAAAGCAUCCGAACGAUGAUGUCUUACUGCUAGUUGGGAUGUCUUUGAUGUUCGUAUGUUGGAAGUUCAUAUUAUACAAUAAGAAAACAUUAGGCCAUGUGCUAUGCUUCCAAGCAAAAGAUCUCAUUGAUAUAUUUAUGACUUCCCUUUUUGGAUAUCUAGUGUUCUUCCUUCUUGUAACCAUUUCGUGUGUACAUCCUUCUUUGUGGAUAUAUAUAUCAUCAUGAUUGUCUUCUACUUAGAAUCUUGGUCACAUGAGAGAAGUUACAUCUCUAAUUGAUAUCCUCUUUUCUUUCACGUCCAUCGCUGCAUUUCCUUUUUCGUUUUUGGUGGCAACGUGAAAGGAUUUGUUUUGAGUGCGUAUCUUAUUUUCCUACAUCUUGGUGCACUCUUUGGCCGUGAAGAUUAUUUUUCCUCAUGCUUGUCUUGAUGAGGGUUUUGCCAUUUUCAAUUAGUAUCCCUCCUCUUGACAAGAUUCUUACUUCCUAUCUUCACAAUGGGUUGUCACAAGCGUUGGUUCCUAUUUUAUUUAUUAGUAAGCUUGUGAACCCAUUUUCUAGUAUGUGUGUGUGGUAAUGAUAUGUCUUGCACUUUGUAUCUCAUAUUCAUCAAGACUAUGUUGAUGAGCAAUGCUCAUCCUUAUCUUAAGUCUUCUCAAGUGCUUUGCCAUGACUCACACACAUUACUUUGGUUGAGCUUAUUCUUAAGUUGCUUCCUUUACAUGUUGCUCAACCAUUAGUUUUGUGCAAUUGAUAUGCCUAUUGUCUCAUCUAUCUUCUUGCACUCGUUGUGUGUUUCUAUUAAUUCUGGGGGAGCAACGAUCCUAUUUUGUGCACCUGUGUCAAAUACAAUAAUAUCAUAUUAGUAAACAAAUCAUGGGGAGCUUCUCUAGUUUUUGAUAAAGCACUAUGUUGCCUUUAUCAUAAUAUCUUUUAUUUAUGUGGUUCGAAGGACCAUAUGAUUGUUUGUUCCAUCUGUAAUCCUUUGAUUGCCUGCCUCUAUCUUUGUAUGUCUUUGUGGCAUAUGAUUCUUUUUGCAAUUUUUGGUCCUUAAUAUAGUUUGUUUUCCUCCAACUACUUAUCAUUGUAUUUGUAUAUUUUUCUGCACUCAUUUGCUGAGAAGUACACAUUUUUUGGAGGACCAACUACUGUAUUUGCCUUCUAAACUGUUCGUCCAUUUUGGCAAUUGAUGCCAAUGGGGGAGAAGUUUAGAGAGUUUAUUUUGGAUAUGUUUAGAGGGUUUUGCUUUUAUUGCGUAAGCAUUUACAUCUUGCUCACAUGCAUUCAGCAUUUACAUCUUGCUCACAUGCAUUAUUACCUUGUAUGUGUGCGCUUGGUUAUGCUUAUUUCCUUAUAUGAACUCUCUUGAAGUGGUUGUCUUCAAUUACCAAAAUGGGGGAGAUUGUUAGAGCAUAUAUCUCCAUAUGUGGUUUUGGUAAUUGAUGACAAUUCCUAUGGACUAAUGGUUGCCUUAAGUUAUAUUUAUAGGAUUUGUCCAUAGGCACUUCUUGAAGUCCAUCUGUUGGGUUCAAGGAGUUUAUAUGUUGACCAAGAUGUUAUUCAAGUUAUUAUCCAAAGAAUGGUCAUAGAAACACUAGGUUGAUCAAGAUCUCAGACAAAGAGUAAAUCAAGAUGAUCAACACACAAAGCGUAUAAGAUGUACCGAGAGGGAUAAGUGAUCCCAUGGUAUGGUAAGCAUUGUCCAUUACGUGUUUGUGUACUAAUCCAUGGUCUUUGUGAGACUCCUAUGUGGGGGUUAGGUGUGUUUCCAUUGGGCUUGCGUCAAAAGGAAAAUCUCAUACAACCCAUGAAGGAUGACGUCAAGUGGUGAUCGUCAUCAAGAUUGUGGUGUGCAAGUUCAAGUGGAUCAGUACGAAUAUAUCACUGAAACUAUUGUCAAUGAUCAUGUGCUAACAAGGACAAGAUCAAGAUAAGCAUUUCUGAGCACUACAUGCUUGAUUCUUGUGGAUGUUCACAUGGUGGAUAGGACAAGAUCAAGAUAAGCAUUCUUGAGCACUACAUGCUUGAUUCUUGUGGAUGUUCACACAUGGUGGACAAAUGAAGAUAAAUACAUAAGCUAGGCUUUCCGCAUUGUGUAUGGGAAAGCUACUUGAAGACUUCAUCAUGUCUUGCUUUCAACUAGAGCCAAGAAGGAACAACAACAUCAAGCUCAGGUGAAAGGGCUAACUCAAAGGUAUCAGUUCCUUUGACGUUAGUUGUGCGGAGUGAUGAUCAGCGAAUAAAAGUAUACACUCAAGCAUGGAUCAUCAGUACUCUUUUAUGAUUCUUGAGUCCUUAGGGAUCCCGCACUAUUAAGAGGGGAUCACAGGUUUUGCGAUGAACUUGCUCAAACUACAUCAUCACUUUCUGCUCAGACCACAUCUCCACUGUUUUGUUGUUAUCUCAAAACAGAACCAGUGCCUCAGACAUCCGGCUUUCUCCGGACGUCCGAGGACCGGACAACUGACUCGUUUGGAAAUCCGGAAUCCUAUACCACAGAAAUCAGAGCCAUAUAACUCGGACUUCCGGCUACCUCCGGACGUCCGAGGCCCGGAUGUCCGGCCAAGUCCCGGAAAUCCGGAAGCCUGCACCAGUAGAAGUUGAGUUCUAUAUCUCGGAAAUCCGGCUCCCUCCGGACGACCGAGCGCCGGACGUCCAACACCCGUCGGAAAUCCGGAACCUACCACCAGUAGAAGUUGAGCUGUAUAACACGGACUUUCGGGCCACUCCGGACGUCCGUAUGCUGAUGAAUUCAAAUAUGUUCAGGCACAUCUACAGGCCUCGGACGACCGACCCCUGUCGGACGUCCGGCCGCUGAUGAAUUUAGAAGAGUUCCAGUCAUGCCUAAAAGUCUCGGACGUCCGACCCCGGUCGGACGUCCGGCCCCUCACGGACGCCCGGACUUCCGACAACUGUCGGACGUCCGGACCCUGUGUGACUUAAAGUGUCCCCAACGGCUCUUUUUCUCCCCACACUAUAAAUACCCCCUCCCACUUCGUGAGAGGGUUGCCUAACACAGCCUUAUCCUCAUAAGAACACAUUUCCACCUCACACACAUUUGCUCACUCCAAAUCUUAGAUCCCAAGAGCAUUUGUGAGCCCCUUUGAGAGUUGUUCCAAUCAAAAGAUAGAUCUUCUCCCUCUCCUUCUCUCAACCCAAGCUAUUUGUGAUUUGAGCAAGUUUUGAGCAUUCCCCGUGAUCUUGUUACUCUUGGAGGUUGAAGACUCCUAGGCGGUAGGAGUUCUUCGGAGAGGAAUCAAUUGAUGUGAUUUCCCCCGGAAAAGUUUGUGAGGGUUUGGAAGCCACCUCAAAGGCUUACCACUAGUGAUUGAGAAACGCCUUCAUGGUGUUAUCUCAAAGGGAGAAUAGGGUGAGCCUUCGUGGCGUUGGUGUGCCUUCGUGGUAACAUCCACCUCUCUAACGAUGACUAGCUUCCCUCCAAGGAAGUGAACAUCGGGAUACAUCUUCGUCUCAGUGACCUUGGUUAUCCUUAACCCUAACUCCUUACUUGUGGUUUACUUGUGUUAUUUGAGCAUACAUACAUACAUUGCAUAUUGCUUGUGCUCAUUAUAUUGUGUUGGCUAUUUCUUGUACAAGAUUAAUCAUUCAAGCAUACCCUCUAUAUCCACACGUUCAUACUUGCAGCCCUUGAUAUAUCGUGUGAUAUAGUGUGAUCUAGUAUCUUGUGUUGUUCACCUACUUGUCGUGUGAUAUAGCUCAAGUAAGUUUGUGUAACUUACUUGUGCUUGUUAGUAACUGUAUUGUGUCCAUCUUGGUAGAUUGUGUUGUUGAUACACGUUGCAGUGCCUAGUGCAUUUAGGAUUUGUGCUUGACAAGUACACUCUUAGUUUAUUUCCGCAUUAGUUUCAAGCCAAAUCUGAAGAAGUUUCUAAAUAGCCUAUUCACCCCCCCUCUAGGCGUCAUCGAGGUCUUUUCACUAUCUUGCUAUUCUUUCCUCUUUUUUCUAUCCGGAGUGUUGAAGAUAUUUCAGAAGUCCUGAUUUUCGAUGCUUCAAUUAUUUCGAGGUUCUCAACCUCAUCUAGUUCUCUUCAUACCGGUGCAAUCUCUUUAUCUAUUCAAUUGUUUUCAACGGUGGUUUCUUUGAGUGGGCCCAUGGCCCACAAGUUUUUCCCAAGAUCUUAUCUUCCUCUUGUACUCUUUCCCGGAGAUCAUUAAUUCUUUUCGAUUACGACAUAAGUAUGAAUUUCAUCAGUCAUAUCCCUUCUUCAAGAUCAAUUUGAAUUAAUUCUCAUAUUUGGCUCAACCUUGCAUUCUUCUUUAUUUCGUAGUGUCUCAGACAUUCUUGGUGGUGUUCUUCUCGUCAUUCUCUCCAUUGGAGAUUGAAGGAGUGUUUAUCUCAUAUCUUGGUGCCAUCAUCUUAAUUGUUCCCAAUCAUGAGUGGUUCAUUUCUUGCUAUCCGGUGCAUCUCUGGAUUGUUUCAUUCUUGAUCCUCCGAAGGCCAUAAUUUUAGAAGAUUCUUCGUUCUCAGCUUUCAGCUUUCGUCCUCAAUUCUUCUCAAUUGUUGUCUCUUCGUUCAUCUCUCUAUUAUUCUGGUGCCUUGUUCAAGUUUUCUGUUAGGUGGCUCAUGAUCUCUUCAUUAUCUUGUAUCUCCAUUAAUUCGUGGUGUUCCCAUUCAAUUGUGAAUUCUUACCGGUGAUCCCUUCAAUUAUGCCUCAAGCGGUGCUUAUCUCUCUGUCUCUUCAAGAUUCUUUCAAUAGGAAUAAGUUGUGUGUUUAAUCCGUUGUUUGUCUUCAAUUUAAUUUGAUGAAGGAUGAGCAUACCAUAAUUCUUAUUCUUGUUGCAUCAAGUGAUCCCAAUUCUUCGUCCGGAGUGGCUCAUGAUAUCAAUUCCUAUUUCUCAAGUGUUUUUAUCUUUUCGUCUUCGGAGUUCCAAGUUUUCUCAAGUAUCUUUCCGUGAAGCUUCAUCGAAGUCUUUGCAAGGCUUCAAUCUUAUUCUUUCAUCCUUCAUAUCUUGCAUCAUCCAUUUGAUACGAGGCUCGUCAUGGUGGUUCUUCAAGGAUGUGAUUUUUUUCCUCAAAGUGUUCUUCAAGAUUCCUGUUGGAGUACCUUGAUACGUCCAUUUUGCAUCAUGUUUUCAUGUUGAUAUUUAUCGCUUCUUUGGCUGUUAUUUCACUUCACGGUACUAUUCUUAUGCCUUUUCUCUCUUAUUUUGCAAGGUUUACAUGAAGAGGGAGAAUACCGGUAACUGGAAUUCUGGCCUGAAAGUGGAGCAAAGUUGAGAUACCUAUUCUGCGCAACUCCAAACGCCGUGAAAAUCAACGGAGAUUUUUUUCCCAAUUUAUAAAAAAUACUGGGCCAAAGAAGUGCCAGAGGGGCGCCAGGGGGUGGCCACAAGCCUGCAUGAUGCGACCACCCCCCCAGGUCGCGCCAUGGGGGCUUGUGGGCACCCUGCUGGCCCACUGGCCCCCUCUUUUGCUAUAUGGAGGGUUUCGUGCAGGAAAAAAUCAGAAGGGGGCUUUUUCGUGGUUUCACCGCUGCCACGAGGCGGAACUUGAGCAGAACCAAUCUAGAGCUCCGGCAGGAUGAUCCUGCCGGGGAAACUUCCCUCCCGGAGGGGGAAAUCGUCGCCAUCGUCAUCACCAACACUCCUCUCAUCGGAGGGGACUCGUCACCAUCAACAUCUUCAUCAGCACCAUCUCAUCUCCAAACCCUAGUUCAUCUCUUGUAACCAAUCUCCAUCUUGCGACUCCGAUUGGUACUUGUAAGGUUGCUAGUAGUGUUGAUUACUCUUUGUAGUUGAUGCUAGUUGGAUUACUUGGUGGAAGAGUUUAUGUUCAGAUCCUUGAUUCUACUCAUUACACCUCUGAUCAUGAUUAUGAUUAUGCUUUGUGAGUAGUUACUUUUGUUCCUGGGGACAUGGGAUAAGUCAUGCUAAUAAUAGUCAUGUGAAUUUGGUAUUCGUUCGGUAUUUUGAUAUGUUGUAUGUUGUUUUUCCUCUAGUGGUGUUAUGUGAACGUCGACUACAUAACACUUCACCAUUAUUUGGGCCUAGAGGAAGGCAUUGGUAAGUAGUAAAUAGAUGAUGGGUUGCUAGAGUGACAGGAGCUUAAACCCUAGUUUAUGUGUUGCUUCGUAAGGGCCUGAUUUGGAUCCACUAGUUUAAUGCUAUGGUUAGACUUUGUCUUAAUUCUUCUUUCGUAGUUGCGGAUGCUUGCGAGAGGGGUUAAUCAUAAGUGGGAUGCUUGUCCAAGUAAGGGCAGUAUCCAAGCGCCGGUCCACCCACAUAUCAAACUAUCAAAGUAACGAACGUGAAUCAUACGAACAUGAUGAAACUAGCAUGACAGAAAUUCCCGUGUGUCCUCGGGAGCGUUUUUCCUCCUAUAAGACUUUGUACAGGCUUGUCCCUUGCUACAAAAGGGAUUGGGGCACUUUGCUGCACUGUUGCUACUUUUGUUACUUGUUGCUUGCUACGAAUCAUCUCACCACACAAUUACUUGCUACCGAUAAUUUCAGUGCUUGCAGAUAUUUCCUUGUUGAAAACCACUUGUCAGAUCCUUCUGCUCCUCGUUGGGUUCGACACUCUUACUUAUCAAAAGGACUACGACUGAUCCCCUAUACUUGUGGGUCAUCAAGACUCUUUUCUGGCACCGUUGCCGGGGAGUGAAGCGCCUUUGGUAAGUGGAACUUGGUAAGGAAACAUUCAUAUAGUGUGCUGAAAUUUAUUGUCACUUGUCACUAUGGAUACUAAUCCUUUGAGGGGCUUGUUCAGGGUAUCUUCACCUCAAACGGAAGCACAAAGAGUUGCUCCUCAACCUGCCGCACCUACUGAAAUUUUUUGCUUUGAAUUUCCUUUGGGUAUGCUUGAGAAACUGCUGGCUAAUCCUUUUACAGGAGAUGGAACAUCACAUCCAGACUUGCAUCUGAUCUAUGUGGAUGAAGUUUGUGGUUUAUUUAAGCUUGCAGGUGUGCCCGAGGAUGAGGUCAAGAAGAAGGUCUUUCCUUUAUCUUUGAAGGAUAAGGCGUUGACAUGGCAUAGGCUAUGUGAUGAUACUGGAUCACGGGACUACAAUUGGUUGAAAUUGGAAUUUCAUCAAAAGUUUUAUCCUAUGCAUUUAGUACAUCGUGAUCGGAAAUUAUAUUUAUAAUUUUUGGCCUCGUGACAGAGAAAGCAUCGCUCAAGCGUGGGGGAGGCUUAAAUCAAUGCUAUAUUCAUGCCCCAAUCAUGAGCUCUCGAGAGAAAUUAUCAUUCAGAACUUCUAUGCUCGACUUUCUCAUGAUGAUCGCAUCAUGCUUGACACUUCUUGUACCGGUUCUUUUAUGAAGAGAGAUAUUGACUUCAAACGGAAUUUAUUGGAGAGAAUUAAACGCAACUCUGAAGAUUGGGAGCUUGAAGAAGGUAAGGAGUCAGGUAUGAAUUUCACUUUUGAUUGCGUUAAAUCCUUUGUUGAGAUAAAUACUUUUUGUGACUUUAGCGCUAAGUAUGGACUUGACUCUGAGAUAGUAGCUUCAUUGUGUGAAUCCUUUGCUGCCCAUAUUGAUCUCCCCAAAGAGAAGUGGUUUAAAUAUCAUCCUCCGUUAGAAGUCAAUGUAGUUAAACCCACUCCAGUUGAAGAGAAAGUCAUUGCCUAUAAUGAUCCUGUGGUUCCCAGUGCUUACAUUGAGAAACCACCUUUCCCUGUUAGGAUAAAGGAUCAUUCUAAAGCUUCAACUGUCAUACGUAGAGGCUAUAUUAGAACACCUACACCCCCUGAGCAAAAUAGAGUUGAACCUAGCAUUGCUAUUAUCAAAGAUCUUCUGUCUAAAGAAGUUGAGGGACAUAAUAUUCACUUUUGUGAAGAUGCUGCUAUAAUUGCUAAACCUCACGUUAGAGACAAACAUAGGCCUGUUGUUGGCAUGCGUGUGGUUUCUGUUAAGAUAGGAGAUCAUUGUUAUCAUGGUUUAUGUGACUUGGGUGCUAGUGUUAGUGGAAUACCUCAAUCCUUAUACGAUGAAGUCAAAGAUGAGAUUGCACCUUUUGAGAUAGAACCCAUUGAUGUCACUAUUGACCUUGCCAAUAGAGAUACUAUGUGCCCUGUGGGAAUUGUUAGGGAUGUUGAAGUCUUGUGUGGUAAAACGAAGUAUCCUGCUGAUUUCCUCGUUCUUGCUACUGCACAAGAUAGCUUUUGUCCCAUCAUAUUUGGCAGACCUUUUCUCAAUACCGUCAAUGCUCAUAUUGACUAUGAGAAGCAAACUAUCACUGUUGGCUUUGAAGGUGUGUCACACGAGUUCAAUUUCUCUAAGUUUGGUAGACAACCUCAUGAAAAGGAGUUGCCUAGUAGGGAUGAAACUAUUGCCUUAGCUUCUAUUGCCGUGCCUCCUACUGAUCCCUUAGAGCAAUACUUGCUUGAGCAUGAAAAUGAUAUGCAUAUGGAUGAAAGGGAUGAGAUAGAUAGAGUUGUCUUAGAACAAUAUCAUAUCCUUAAGAAUAACUUGCAUGUUGAACUGCUUGGGGAUCCACCCCCACCAAAGGGUGAUCCUAUGUUCGAGCUUAAACAGUUGCCUGAUACUCUUAAGUAUGCCUAUCUUGAUGAAAAGGAGAUAUAUCCUAUUAUUAUUAGUGCUAGCCUCUCAGAGCAGGAAGAAAAGAAGUUACUAAAAACUCUGAGGAAGCACCGUGCUGCUAUAGGAUAUACUCUUGAUGAUCUUAAGGGCAUUAGUCCCACUCUAUGCCAGCACAAGAUCAAAACUGAUCCUGAAUUCAAACCAGUUGCUGAUCAUCAAAGGAGAUUGAAUCCUAAGAUGAAAGAAGUAGUGAGAAAAGAAAUACUAAAGCUCCUGGAAGUGGGUAUUAUCUAUAGCGUUGCUCACAACGAUUGGGUGAGUCCGGUGCAUUGCGUUCCUAAGAAGGGAUGCAUCACCGUUGUCCCUAAUGAUAAGGAUGAGUUGAUCCCACAAAGGAUUAUUACUGGCUAUAGGAUGGUGAUUGAUUUUAGGAAGUUGAGUAAGGCCACUAGGAAAGAUCAUUACCCUUUGUCUUUUAUCGACCAAAUGCUAGAAAGACUAUCCAAACACACACACUUCUGCUUUCUAGACGGUUAUUCUGGUUUCUCCCAAAUACCAGUUGCACAAUCUGAUCAGGAGAAAACCACUUUCACCUGCCCUUUUGGUACCUUUGCUUGUAGACGUAUGCCUUUUGGCUUGUGUAAUGCACCUGCCACCUUUGAAAGAUGUACGAUGGCUAUAUUCUCUGACUUUUGUGAAAAGAUUUUCGAGGUUUUCAUGGAUGACUUCUCCGUUUACGGGUCUUCCUUUGAUAAUUGCCUCAGCAACCUUGAUCGAGUCUUGCAGAGAUGUAAAGACACCAAUCUUGUCUUGAAUUGGGAGAAGUGCCACUUUAUGGUUAAUGAAGGCAUCGUCUUAGGACGUAAAAUUUCUGAAAGAGGUAUUGAACUUGGAGGUAAGUAUCGAUGAAUUAUUAUUGUUGACAUUACCCUUGAGGUAAGCAGUUGGGAGGCAAAACUAUAAGCCCCUAUCUUUCUUUGUGUCCAGCUGAAACUUUGAUCUCAUGAGUACCACGUGAGUUGUAGCAAUUGUAGAGAACGAAAGAAUGAUUGAGUAUGUGGAUUUGCUUUACAAGCUCUUAUUUGACUCUUUCUGAUGUUGUGAUAAAUUGCAAUUGCUUCAAUGACUAAAGGCUAUCGGUUGUUACUCCUCGGUAAGGUUCUUGAUCCAUGCUUUACUUUGUGAAGGAAUUAUCACUUCAACAUGAGAGUUUAUAUGUUGGUAUUGCUGUUCUGAUCUUGAUCAUGAUGCAUGCAUGUUUGUAUCUUGUUUUGUCGACACCUCUCUCCCUAAACAUGUGGACAUAUUUAUUGAGCUAGGCUUUCGCUUGAGGACAAGCGAGGUCUAAGCUUGGGGGAGUUGAUAAGUCCAUUUUGCAUCAUGUUUUCAUGUUGAUAUUUAUCGCUUCUUUGGCUGUCAUUUCACUUCACGAUACUAUUCUUAUGCCUUUUCUCUCUUAUUUUGCAAGGUUUACAUGAAGAGGGAGAAUACCGACAACUGGAAUUCUGGCCUGAAAGUGAAGCAAAGUUGAGAUACCUAUUCUGCGCAACUCCAAACGCCGUGAAAAUCAACGGAGAUUUUUUUCCCAAUUUAUAAAAAAUACUAGGCCGAAGAAGUGCCAGAGGGGCGCCAGGGGGUGUCCACAAGCCUGCACGGCGUGGCCACCCCCCAGGCCGCGCCAUGGGGGCUUGUGGGCACCCUGUUGGCCCACUAGGCCCCUUCUUUUGCUAUAUGGAGGGUUUCGUCCAGGAAAAAAAUCAGAAGGGAGCUUUUUCGUGGUUUCUCCGCCGCCACGAGGCGGAACUUGAGCAGAACCAAUCUAGAGCUCCGGCAGGACGAUCCUGCCGGGGAAACUUCCCUCCCGGAGGGGGAAAUCGUCGCCAUCGUCAUCACCAACACUCCUCUCAUCGGAGGGGACUCGUCACCAUCAACAUCUUCAUCAACACCAUCUCAUCUCCAAACCCUAGUUCAUCUUGUAACCAAUCUCCAUCUCGCGACUCCGAUUGGUACUUGUAAGGUUGCUAGUAGUGUUGAUUACUCUUUGUAGUUGAUGCUAGUUGGAUUACUUGGUGGAAGAGUUUAUGUUCAGAUCCUUGAUGCUACUCAUUACACCUCUGAUCAUGAUUAUGAUUAUGCUUUGUGAGUAGUUACUUUUGUUCCUGAGGACAUGGGAUAAGUCAUGCUAAUAAUAGUCAUGUGAAUUUGGUAUUCGUUCGGUAUUUUGAUAUGUUGUAUGUUGUUUUUCCUCUAGUGGUGUUAUGUGAACGUCGACUACAUAACACUUCACCAUUAUUUGGGCCUAGAGGAAGGCAUUGGGAAGUAGUAAAUAGAUGAUGGGUUGCUAGAGUGACAGAAGCUUAAACCCUAGUUUAUGCGUUGCUUCGUAAGGGGCUGAUUUGGAUCCACUAGUUUAAUGCUAUGGUUAGACUUUGUCUUAAUUCUUCUUUCGUUGUUGCGGAUGCUUGCGAGAGGGGUUAAUCAUAAGUGGGAUGCUUGUCCAAGUAAGGGCAGUAUCCAAGCGCCGGUCCACCCACAUAUCAAACUAUCAAAGUAACGAACGUGAAUCAUAUGAACAUGAUGAAACUAGCAUGACAGAAAUCCCUGUGUGUCCUCAGGAGCGUUUUUCCUCCUGUAAGACUUUGUACAGGCUUGUCCCUUGCUACAAAAGGGAUUGGGGCACUUUGCUGCACUGUUGCUACUUUUGUUACUUGUUGCUUGCUACGAAUCAUCUCACCACACGAUCACUUGUUACCGAUAAUUUCAGUGCUUGCAGAUAUUUCCUUGCUGAAAACCACUUGUCAGAUCCUUCUGCUCCUCAUUGGGUUGGACACUCUUACUUAUCGAAAGGACUACGAUUGAUCCCCUAUACUUGUGGGUCAUCAUAGCUCAAGUAUUCUUUCUCUUGCAUUUCCAAUGCGUUGUUCUCCUUUAUCCUUUGAGGUGGUAUUAUAGCAUUCUUGUUGGUGGAGGAGUCACGAAGAGAAGUUGUUUCAAAAAUUAAAUAUGUAAACCCACCAAUUCUUUGAUCAUGUGUUAUUUUUCAACCCGUGAUUUCUUCAUUGAGCUAUCUUGGUUUGGAUUUCACCUAAAGCUUUUCCUAAGGAUUGUUGCUAUUAUGGUGAUUAUCAUUGAUCCGAGUUCUCAAUGUAUGCUCUAGCUAAAAGAAGUUUUCCUUCUCUUGGUUCUCCCAAUCAAUCUUUGUUUCCGUUAGUGGCUGGUUGUCAACUCUUUGUUAGAGAUGGUUUUCAUAAGUCCACUACAAGCUUGCAUGCNNNNNNNNNNNNNNNNNNNNNNNNNNNNNNNNNNNNNNNNNNNNNNNNNNNNNNNNNNNNNNNNNNNNNNNNNNNNNNNNNNNNNNNNNNNNNNNNNNNNCUUUACACGUGGAACUGGAUUUAUGCACCGGGCUUUCCAGGGUAUGAUGCUAUUUAUGAUUCAGUGCUACAUAAUGGUUGAAGUCUGUAACUCACACAUGUUGUUUGUAGAUAAAUAGUAGGCUACAUAGUGAUGUCAUGAAUUCAUAGACUUAAGUGCAUAGGAAUGAUCAAAAUCAGAAUUUUCAUCUUCCCAGUGUAGAGGCAAUUUAUGUAAUCAUCUGUGCAGACUUUGCUGUUAGUGCUGUUAGUCCUUGAUUUUCAGUCAACUGCAUAAGUCAAAGGACCGCAGCCAGUUCUAAAAGUGUUAUUACCACCUUGUGCUGUUUACCUUAGCUAGAUGUCAACAAUAUUUUUGUUAUGGCAUAGCUUCAAAGACUUAGCCAUGGACAGGGGUGCGUGGAAGUUAGCUAUCCACGUUCCAGAGCCAUGACUUGGUUUCGAGAUCUUAUGGGUUUCAACUCUAGCCUACCCCAACUUGUUUGGGACUGAAAGGCUUGGUUGUUGUUGUUGCAUAGCUUCAAUUUUCAGGCUAUGGAUGUGCACACAGUUGCCACAGACCAUCAAAAUAAAAUUUAUGCUAUGUCACAAGAAGAUUAGUGUCUUGCUGCAUCAAAAUGCACGUAGUUUGUUUGCCUUGCAUGCCUAGCUAGAUUUCAGGAAUUCUUGACCUAUGAUUUCACAAUAAAUUUGUUAUUUAACUGAUGUUUUUUUAAUGCAGCAUAUGCUAAAUACAGAGGUCCACUGGGCACUGUUAGAAAAGGAGUUACUGGUAAAUCAAAUUUCAGCACCUUCAUAAUCUUAUAUUCUUACAUUACUCUUAUUUGCUUAUCUUAUACGUAAAUCAUAUUUUACAUUGCAAUAAGGUAUUAAUACUGAUGUUCAUUUUUAGCAAAGAAGCAUGCAUAUCUUAAUAUCUUAAUUAAAUAGAAACAGUACUUUGAACAGUACAUAUGUGCUGCUGAACUCUGCAAGUGGAAGUUGAUUUUUCUCCAUGUUCAUAUAUAGNNNNNNNNNNNNNNNNNNNNNNNNNNNNNNNNNNNNNNNNNNNNNNNNNNNNNNNNNNNNNNNNNNNNNNNNNNNNNNNNNNNNNNNNNNNNNNNNNNNNUAAUCGGAAAGAAGGGAGUACUGUGAUUUGUAGUCUACUCAUUUUGACCCAAAUAUAACAAAAGGAGACCCAUUUUGAUUUAUGUAUUUAUAUAUUCUAAUCCGCUACAUAUGACAAUGAAAUAAACAUCAACGACAAUUCAUAAGUGCACACUACACAUGUGUAUGUGUAUAUUAAUUUUCAGAAUUUUUGGAGGUAUAGCAAAAAAAUUWGAAAAAUAAAGGGCUCAGUGGAGCCCCUCCUCCAAAUCUCAUUUUCAGCAUAGAUUAUGGCCAUUUUGAAGCUCCCUUUUUCUUAGCAAUUUGUAAUUCAAAAUUUAGAAGCAUACAGCUAGUGCCCACUACUCCGUCACCUCAACUUACAAAGCAUAGUUCCACGAAACCACUCGCUCGCCCAUGACUUAUGGGGUCUGAAAGACUUGGGCUCCUUCCAAGGUCUAUCUUUUUGCCUGACUUGCUAUUCAAACCGGAUUUGGACUGCCGAUAAGCUCAAGAGGCACGGUUGGNNNNNNNNNNNNNNNNNNNNNNNNNNNNNNNNNNNNNNNNNNNNNNNNNNNNNNNNNNNNNNNNNNNNNNNNNNNNNNNNNNNNNNNNNNNNNNNNNNNNAAUGUGCUCGGAUCACUUCCGCAGCCUUUUUAAAAUAUAAACUGUUUUGGCAGUUUAAAACAUGUGGAUCUAUAAUAUACUCCCUUAGUCACAAAUUACUUGUCUUAUAUUUGUUCACAUAUGGAUGUAUUUAGACAUAUGUUAAUGUUAGAUACAUCCGUAGAUGUAUCUAGACAAACCCAAGACAAGUAAUUUGGAACAUCGAUAAUAUGCGUUGUACUUACUACAACCUCUAGGAGUAAUGACUUAAAAAAUAACUUAUACUUCAUUCGUUUCAAAAAGUUGUUUUAGAUUUGUCUAGAUAUGAAUGUAUUUAAUCAUGUUUUAGUAUUUAGAUACAUUCAUUUUUAGACAAAUUUAAAAUAAGAAUUUUAAGACGAAGGGAGUAUAAGUUGGGAGUAUUGUUCAGAUACACGAUGGAUCUACUUAACUGACCUAAAACGUCUUCCAUUUGUUGCAUCAAAAAWAUCUUGAUAACAAAUUAUAGGAUCACACUUUGAUUUUCCUUUUGUGAAACUUCGGUUUAUUUAUUUUAAAAAUUUUGAGAUCCGAUGGACAGGAGCCUAUGCGCCUAUCUAUACGGUCCUUUUGCCGUAGGUGCCAACAUGCCUCGGCAAAUUUAUGUGCUCCCUCGGUUCCUAAAUAUCAGUCUUUUUUAGAUGUNNNNNNNNNNNNNNNNNNNNNNNNNNNNNNNNNNNNNNNNNNNNNNNNNNNNNNNNNNNNNNNNNNNNNNNNNNNNNNNNNNNNNNNNNNNNNNNNNNNNUUGUGCGCAUACAUUUAUGGGCUAUGUUUGUCACGAUUAUGGUAUUUCAUUUUUGAAAAUCUUAUUGUUUAUUUCAAUAUGUUAGCUGGCCAUUUGUUUAGAGCAGAUUUAUAUAAAAUAAACCGUCAAUUUGGUGCAAUUUCAAAAAAAAGUAAGUCGAUUAAGUGCUAGGUGCGUUUUCUACACAACUGCCUGCCCACCAAGCGCGGUAUUAGGAGGAGAUGUAUCAGAAAUUUGUUUUGGAUUUCAGAAAGAAAAAGAAAUUUGAAGUACCUAAAAAUUCAAAAAUAUCAAAUACAUAUAGAUGUGUUCUACAUGUUUGUGAACACAUAUGAUGAAAUCCAUGUGAGCUAUAGGGAAAAACAAUUUAUGUGGAUUUUUAGAACAUGCACUACUUUAAUGGUUUUGUUGUUUUUGUAUACCUCAUAAGUUAAUGUAUUUCAUAAUGAAAUUUAUACAAAUGUGUAAUCAUGUUGAUUUUCUAAAGGAUACUUGAUAAUUCAAAAAAAAAUGGAACGGAGGCAAAAGAUUUGCCUUAUCCAUUAAUUAAGAAGUUAAGAGUUGCUUUUUUACGACCAAAAAGCAAUAGAAUUAUUACAAAGCCACUACUCGUGGCAUGAUGUUUCUCAAGUGCUUCGUGCCAGCGGUAAUUUAGAGUCGGACGGUAGUGUNNNNNNNNNNNNNNNNNNNNNNNNNNNNNNNNNNNNNNNNNNNNNNNNNNNNNNNNNNNNNNNNNNNNNNNNNNNNNNNNNNNNNNNNNNNNNNNNNNNNGUUAAUGUGGCAAACAUUUAUACAAAGAAAGAUGAAACCGCAUACAUAACAGCUUAAGUCAAGUAUCCAUGAAAAUAUGAUCUGGGCCAAARRAAAUCACAAGAUAUGUAGACAUCCAAAAUAUGACUGGGUAGAAAAGACUGAAAGUUGAUAUCAUACUGCAAAAGGUAGUGAAACAAAUUGAUACUCAUUCCUCAAUAACGAGGACUAAAUUCAUACACCAUCUUAGGAGACAUACUACGAGAGGAAAAACUAUCAACAUGGAAGCAUGGACAAUAAGCUAAAUGCCCCACUUCAACCACUACUCAGCAUUCCAUUAUUAAUGUUGAACCAUCCAAGAAUUAUUUGCUUGCUGAACAAAGUAAGGACGAAAAGAAUAAACAAGUACAUAUCAAGCACCUUUCAUAUUGAUGCCUCCAGCACAUUCAUUCUUAAAAGCAAGAAACAAUAGGGGAUGACCUUCUUGCAAUUUUACUAAGAAGGAAGGUAAAUGCGCGCAUCAAGAUUAUCAUGGUUGCUGCAGCAUGCGUAGGAUGNNNNNNNNNNNNNNNNNNNNNNNNNNNNNNNNNNNNNNNNNNNNNNNNNNNNNNNNNNNNNNNNNNNNNNNNNNNNNNNNNNNNNNNNNNNNNNNNNNNNUCGAUUAGUCCCACAUCGCUCGCGGAGCACGGCGGGGCAGGGUCGGACGAGUAUAAAUGGAGGGGCGGGGGCACGGUUGUAAGUCAUACCUUUCUCGGCCUUUUGGCUAAGAUCAAGUGUAGUAUCUGUUCUUAUCAGUUUAAUAUCUGAUAUGUGGGCCAUGCGCCCACAACGAUAUUAAAUUUAUUUUAUGGGGAGGAUCCACCACAGUGGCUUGCUGCUGGGCUCCUCACGCGUUCCCUGGACGUUGCACUGCUGUCCAGGUGUGGCGCACCCCAACCAAAUCUAAAUUAACUAUUUUGAUCGGGUUAAGUUGAGGUGGCUGAAGUAUUAAGGUUUUGAACACUGUUCUACCGGUUGAAUGCCCAUUGCAGCACUCAAGCUAAUGUUGUAUUUAAAAAUAGGCGAAGCUUUCUUGAAAAAGUAUGGAUUAUUGUUUUGUUUUGUGAACAUAGUACAAGUAAGGAAUAGAUGCAUUAUCGUAUUUAUAUUUCUGAAUAAGUGUCAUUUAUUGCCUCUGACUGUUUCAUGAAAAUUGGACGGGACUGAAAUAUUCUGCUGGGCACUGGACAGCUUAGCCAUUUGUGGGUGUGUGAUUUGUCUCACGAUUUUAUAGACCUCUUUCGAAUAUCUUUCUGCCCAUGCAGGCAUUGCCGCAAAAUCAUUAUCUUUGAUUUAUAAAAAUUUAGCAACGGAUAUUCAGGAUUUCAACAAUAAGUAGUUUCUUUUUCCAUUCGUUACUUAACCCCCUUCACGCACACUAUCGUGUAAGUGCGUUGUAUGCGACGACUCUCUCUACAUGUNNNNNNNNNNNNNNNNNNNNNNNNNNNNNNNNNNNNNNNNNNNNNNNNNNNNNNNNNNNNNNNNNNNNNNNNNNNNNNNNNNNNNNNNNNNNNNNNNNNNUAAAUUUUGAAUUACAAAUUGCUAAGAAAAAGGGAGCUUCAAAAUGGCCAUAAUCUAUGCUGAAAAUGAGAUUUGGAGGAGGGGCUCCACUGAGCCCUUUAUUUUUUCAAUUUUUUUUUGCUAUACCUCCAAAAAUUCUGAAAAUUAAUAUACACAUACACAUGUGUAGUGUGCACUUAUGAAUUGUCGUUGAUGUUUAUUUCAUUGUCAUAUGUAGCGGAUUAGAAUAUAUAAAUACAUAAAUCAAAAUGGGUCUCCUUUUGUUAUAUUUGGGUCAAAAUGAGUAGACUACAAAUCACAGUACUCCCUUCUUUCCGAUUAAUAGUUUCAUCUAAAAAAAUUAGUUUUUAUUAUACUAGGCUUAUUUUGAGUCUAAUUGAGUUAAACUGCUUUGAUUCGCACGUCAUAUUUAAUUCAUAGAGAUAAAAGAAAGAGAAUAUUUAAUUCAUAGAGAUAAAGARAAGGAUUAUUGGCUAUACAWUUUUUUCUACAUGCAUCAUGCAAGUUCAAUAAAAAGAAGAAUGCUACAUUUAUUGACUCAAAAUUUAAUAUAUGAGAAAUAUUUUAUUGACUAAUCAAAACUAGUGUCAUCCACUCACAAUUCAUCUUGAUUGAUGAGAUUUCAGAUUUAAAUCCUAUAAACCAAAAGAAGCAAAUAUUAUUUAAUACAAAAAGAUCUUAUGUGNNNNNNNNNNNNNNNNNNNNNNNNNNNNNNNNNNNNNNNNNNNNNNNNNNNNNNNNNNNNNNNNNNNNNNNNNNNNNNNNNNNNNNNNNNNNNNNNNNNNAGAUUGGAUUGGAUUUGUUUGCUGUAUUACAUACUAAAAUAUUCCCUGUUUAAUCUUCAUUUUGGGGGAAAAUAGAAGUAUGGCAUUUGGCCAGGUGAAAUGUUAUAAUUGGUUACACAACUGGAUGUCGCUGACAACCCAUUGCUCAAUUACAAAUCAUGGAUAGAUGGAAAAGGCUGACCUCCAGUACAUGAUGGAUGACGAAUUUGUUCUUGAAUCAUCAAACUUACCCAAAUGUAUUUUGCAGUUAGUCCUCUGAAUGUGCUUCUAAAUUGGUAGUUGAGAGUAAGGACCUAGUCUUCUACUAUCAUUAAAUAUAUUGGGGGGGGGGCGUAAAUCCAGGGUAUGGUGCUAGCCUCCUACUGUCCUUUUUCUUUUCUUUUUCCAGUAAUAUAAGUUUUUUUUGCAGUAUGCACCAUGAUAGAUUUAUUGUGAAGUUCCUUGGCAUUUGUUAAUGUUUGACAUCACAAACUUACACCAACGUAUUUCUGAAUUCUGAUUACGCCGUUUUAUGUCAUCAUAUGUGGAAUUUUAUGAGGACUUUGUCAUUGGUUAAAUGACAUAAGAUCCAAUAGCAUUUCUAUAGUCUAACUUUACAUGUUGCCGGUGCCAACUAGAAUGCACUCAUUGGAGCAUAAUCUGUCAAUUUGUUGGUGAUAUUUAAUGAAAAUCUGAACUUGGCUGACUUCGCUUGAUUUUUAAAUUUGCAGGUAACUGGANCGAAAAUUGGGAACCGUUUGAUGGCAGAGGCAGAAACAANNNNNNNNNNNNNNNNNNNNNNNNNNNNNNNNNNNNNNNNNNNNNNNNNNNNNNNNNNNNNNNNNNNNNNNNNNNNNNNNNNNNNNNNNNNNNNNNNNNNUGAUCUUCUUCAUGAUGUUUUUAUGUAUUGUACUGAUGUGACUUUGAUGUAGCUUGUGGCGAGUGUAAGCCAGUUCAAUAUAUCUUCUCUUUUCAGUACAUGUACUUGUAACGAUAUCCAUUCUUGCGAAACGACGAGAUGCGCUUCUAUCCCUGUCGAGGCCCUCGUGCCUAAAUAAGGAUAGGAUCGCAUCUUGGGCGUUACAAAUUCGCAUGAUUAAAAUCCUUAGGAGUUUUCCUUAAGAAAAUCCUUGGAUUUUUUCAAAAGAAAUCCUUAGAAAGACUUAUUUUUUAUGCUCUAUAUUUUGGAGAUGACUUCCAAACAUUUAAAGAAAUUGCACACAAAUUGUUUUUUGCUGGGAUGAAUAAAAUGGAUGCAAGCAGUGUGUCGUCUGUGUCUGAUGCUGCUGGAAGAAAAUCUACCGUGUGUUUGAAUAUUUUCAAAUAAGAGGUAGAAUGUCAUGACAUUUUCCACAUGGAUCUAACCUUUCCAAAAUUAAUCCAUCGACGCGCAUAAAACUGAAUCUGAAUCAUGCUAAAUCUAGGGUAUCACUUUAAUAAACUUUAACCUAUUCAUCUUCAUCAUGACAAUACAAUGAACAUAAAUAGNNNNNNNNNNNNNNNNNNNNNNNNNNNNNNNNNNNNNNNNNNNNNNNNNNNNNNNNNNNNNNNNNNNNNNNNNNNNNNNNNNNNNNNNNNNNNNNNNNNNCCCGUGUACCGAACCGUUGUGGAGGGCAGCGCACUCUAUAUAAGCCACCCUCCCCCACUGGUAAAGGGGUUAGCAACUUGUUGUAUUCCCUAUUCCACUCGACAAGAAGCUCCCUGAGCACUGAGACGUAAGGCUAUUACCUCCAUCGCAGAGGGGCCUGAACUCAUACAUCCUCGCCGUAGCUAGGACUCUGCCCAUCCUUUUCGUACCCUACACAUCUACUGUCAGGCUUAUACCCACGACAGUUGGCCCCCACCGUGGGGCAGGCGUCUAAGCGACUUCCGGCGAGUUUGCGACUACUUCCUUUCGUCAUGUCGUCCGGUGGAGGUUCGAGCAUGGGUCACCAGAUCUUCUUCGGUGCUCUCUCCUUCAUUGUCGACGAUUCGGCGUGGCUUCGGGAUGCUCCUCUCGACGUCGAGGCGCUUCCCCGUCGUGGGGCUACGCACUUCCGUGUCGGCGCCCGCGGCAUUCUUCUUCUCCAACAGUCGACUCCGAUGUCGACCUGCAGCGCCGUCACGCGCCGCAGCAAGCAGUCCCGCCGUCCGCGGCUCCAGCGUUGGGUGCAACACACCCCAGGCGCGCCAAAACGCGUCUUCACAAGUGGCGGUUCUAGAGUCCGUUGUGGUUGCCCCGCUGUCCCAGCACUCGGACNNNNNNNNNNNNNNNNNNNNNNNNNNNNNNNNNNNNNNNNNNNNNNNNNNNNNNNNNNNNNNNNNNNNNNNNNNNNNNNNNNNNNNNNNNNNNNNNNNNNGGAUCAUCACUUUCUCUAUAUCUAUAACCACACUAGACAUGUUAAAAAUAGAUUCAUAAGAGGCAAGAAAGACAAAUGAAACACAAAAUCCAAUGUAAAGAUGAUUAUCAAUUCCAAUCACAUGAUGGGAAUACCAAUUGUCAAGGACAAGAAGUAUUUUUGAAAUGAUACUCAUUAGUAGAUCACAAAUAUAUCCAAGAUCAUCUUUACCCAUAAAACGCAAGCAAAUGUCACUUGUAGAGCUAACAUGCCACCUAGGAACAAGAUAAUUUACAAUAUCAACACUAAGUGGCAACACCUCAAAUGUACACAUUUUCUAGGUUUGUAAUAUGCACAUAGCAUAUUACUCCCCCACAAUGUGAUAAACCAAUAACAUUGACAAGUGGCAAAUUAGAACCAACAAGAGAUACUUAAUGGACCAUAUAGAAUGUGAAUUUCUCAUGAGUAAGACAUACCACAUAGACACUAGAUAAUCUUGAAGCAUCAAAACUAAGUGGUAUUCCCCAUGUAUANNNNNNNNNNUAAUGUGAUAACCAACAAUAUUAACAAGUGGCAAAUUGAAACCAACAAGAGAUAAUUAAUGGACCAUAUGGAAUUUGAAUUUCUCAUGAGUAAGACAUACCACAUAGAAACUAGAUAAUCUUGAAAUAUCAAAACUAAGUGGUAUUCCCCAUGUAUACACAUUUAUAGGAUUGAGAGGUGUGCAAAGCACAUCACUCCCCCACAAUGGGAUAAUCCAUUAAUCUCUCACAAGAGCCAACAAAAAUACAGACAAGAUGCAAAUAGGCUCAAUACAAGACUCACAUGUACAUGAUGUGCAAAGCAACACAUACUUGAUUACUCAAGAUAAGCAAGUUGAAAGCACAACAUAUACAAACGCAUGCAAGGUACAAAACCACAACAUGCAAAAGGGGGCAAGCACCUAACAAUGUAAACAGUUUAAGUAUAAGUUACCGUANNNNNNNNNNCCAACAUACACAUACUUGAUUACUCAAGAUAAGCAAGUUGGAAGCACAACAUAUACAAACACAUGCAAGGUACAAAACCACAACAUGCAAAAGGGGGGCAAGCACCUAACAAUGUAAACAGUUUAAGUAUAAGUUACCGUAAGGAGGCACAUUAGAUAUAAGAUAGAAACUUGAUAAUCCAAAUGACUUGGCUUGAGAUAAUAUGAAUGAUGAAGACCCAUUAAUUCUUCAUUAUGUAUCCAAGUCUCUAAUGUCCUCCAUAGUCACCUAUUGAUCAAGUUUGAGCUUGUUGGUCCCCAACUACGUUGGGUCCUAAGAAGUUAAUCACAAUAGGCUUGGCAAACCAAAUGGUUCUUUUCUUGACACCAUUUUGAGUACCAACAAACUUGGCAAACACAUUGCCAACCUUAUCCUUCCCAAGGGAAUAGAUAUCAUCAAUAGUGAUUGGGUUGGAUAAGUUACCUCUUGUGCAAGACGAAGCAACGUGACCUUUCUCACGACAUAAGUAGCAACAUCUACCCUUUGCUUUCUUCCCAGUUGAUUUCUCACCUUGGGGAGUGUUGGUUUGGGUCUUAUUGGAAGAGGCCUUCCUUCAACUUGUAGUUGAAUAUGUGAUUGAGUCUGUGGCCGCUUCCCUUGUUGCUUGUGACUUUGAGACUUCGUCUUCAGANNNNNNNNNNGACGUGACCCUUCUCACGACAUAAGUAGCAACAUCUACCCUUUUCUUUCUUCGCAGUUGAUUUCUCACCUCGGGGAGUGUUGGUUUGGGUCUUAUUGGGAAGAGGCCUUGCUUCAACUUGUAGUUGAAUAUGUGAUUGAGUUUGUGGCCGCUUCCCUUGUUGCUUGUGACUUUGAGACUUCGUCUUCAGAGGGCAAGAUCUAACAUGGUGCCCUUUAACUUUGCACUUGAAGCAAAUGAUUUUGGCCGAAUUCUUGACUUGUUCUAGGCCCCUCUUGUUCUUGUUUGAGUUUACUCCAAACUCAUUUUUGUCAUUCGGAGAUGUUUGCUCACACAGGACAUUGUUGAGUGUGGGCAUCUCUUCAUGACACUGUUCCAAGUCUUUCUUCAAAGAAGUGACUUGGGCCUUGAGCUCUUUGAUUUCCUCUGCACGGUUAGUAUCAAUGAAAGUACUAGAGGAAGUGUGGGCUUCAAUGUUAGAGCAACAAGGCAAGGAAAGUAAUUCAUCACAUGAGGUAGCAACAUUAUGAGUAGACGAAUUACGAGGACUAGCACAUGGANNNNNNNNNNNNNNNNNNNNNNNNNNNNNNNNNNNNNNNNNNNNNNNNNNNNNNNNNNNNNNNNNNNNNNNNNNNNNNNNNNNNNNNNNNNNNNNNNNNNAAGAUCACGGGGAAUGCUCAAAACUUGCUCAAAUCACAAAUAGCUUGGGUUGAGAGAAGGAGAGGGAGAAUAUCUAUCUUUUGAUUGGAACAACUCUCAAAGGGGCUCACAAAUGCUCUUGGGAUCUAAGAUUUGGAGUGAGCAAAUGUGUGUGAGGUGGAAAUGUGUUCUUAUGAGGAUAAGGUUGUGUUAGGCAACCCUCUCACGAAGUGGGAGGGGGGUAUUUAUAGUGUGGAGAGAAAAAGAGCCGUUGGGGACACUUUAAGUCACACAGGGUCCGGACGUCCGACAGUUGUCGGAAGUCCGGGCGUCCGUGAGGGGCCGGACGUCCGACCGGGGUCGGACGUCCGAGACUUUUAGGCAUGACUGGAACUCUUCUAAAUUCAUCAGNNNNNNNNNNGGUUGUCGGAAGUUCGGGCGUCCGUGAGGGGCCGGACGUCCGACCGGGGUCAGACGUCCGAGACUUUUAGGCAUGACUGGAACUCUUCUAAAUUCAUCAGCGGCCGGACGUCCGACAGGGGUCGGUCGUCCGAGGCCUGUAGAUGUGCCUGAACAUAUUUGAAUUCAUCAGCAUACGGACGUCCGGAGUGGCCCGAAAGUCCGUGUUAUACAGCUCAACUUCUACUGGUGGUAGGUUCCGGAUUUCCGACGGGUGUUGGACGUCCGGCGCUCGGUCGUCCGGAGGGAGCCGGAUUUCCGAGAUAUAGAACUCAACUUCUACUGGNNNNNNNNNNGAAGUCCGUGUUAUACAGCUCAACUUCUACUGGUGGUAGGUUCUGGAUUUCCGACGGUUGUCGGACGUUCGGCGCUCGGUCGUCUGGAGGGAGCCGGAUUUCCGAGAUAUAGAACUCAACUUCUACUGGUGCANNNNNNNNNNGCCUCGGACGUCCGGAGGUAGCCGGAAGUCCGAGUUAUAUGGCUCUGAUUUCUGUGGUAUAGGAUUCCGGAUUUCCAAACGAGUCAGUUGUCCGGUCCUCGGACGUCCGGAGAAAGCCGGAUGUCUGAGGCACUGGUNNNNNNNNNNNNNNNUCGAACUAGUCAGUCGUCCGGUCCUCGGACGUCCGGAGAAAGCCGGAUGUCUGAGGCACUGGUUCUGUUUUCGGAUAACAACAAAACAGUGGAGAUGUGGUUUGAGCAGAAAGUGAUGAUGUAGUUUGAGCAAGUUCAUCGCAAAACCUGUGAUCCCCUCUUAAUAGUGCGGGAUCCCUAAGGACUCAAGAAUCAUAAAAGAGUACUGAUGAUCCAUGCUUGAGUGUAUACUUUUAUUCGCUGAUCAUCACUCCGCACAACUAACGUCAAAGGAACUGAUACCUUUGAGUUAGCCCUUUCACUUGAGCUUGAUGUUGUUGUUCCUUCUUGGCUCAAGUUGAAAGCAAGACAUGAUGAAGUCUUCAAGUAGCUUUCCCAUACACAAUGCGGAAAGCCUAGCNNNNNNNNNNNNNNNNNNNNNNNNNNNNNNNNNNNNNNNNNNNNNNNNNNNNNNNNNNNNNNNNNNNNNNNNNNNNNNNNNNNNNNNNNNNNNNNNNNNNCAUACAUACAUUGCAUAUUGCUUGUGCUCAUUAUAUUGUGUUGGCUAUUUCUUGUACAAGAUUAAUCAUUCAAGCAUACCCUCUAUAUCCACACGUACAUACUAUCAACCCUUGAUAUAUCGUUUGAUAUAGUGUGAUCUAAUAUCUUGUGUUAUUUACCUACUUGUCGUGUGAUAUAGCUCAAGUAAGUUUGUGUAACUUACUUNNNNNNNNNNUCAUACUUGCAGCCCUUGAUAUAUCGUGUGAUAUAGUGUGAUCUAGUAUCUUGUGUUGUUCACCUACUUGUCGUGUGAUAUAGCUCAAGUAAGUUUGUGUAACUUACUUGUGCUUGUUAGUAACUGCAUUGUGUCCAUCUUGGUAGAUCGUGUUGUUGAUACACGUUGCAGUGCCUAGUGCAUUUAGGAUUUGUGCUUGACAAGUACCCUCUUAGUUUAUUUUCGCAUUAGGUUCAAGCCAAAUCUGAAGAAGUUUUUAAAUAGCCUAUUCACCCCCCCUCUAGGCAUCAUCGAGGUCUUUUCAAUUGGUAUCAGAGCUAGGUCUCUCUUUAAUUAGGUUUCACGACCUUGAGAGUAUCGAUGUCGACUAUUGNNNNNNNNNNCGAAUAAGUUUUUAAAUAGCCUAUUCACCCCCCUCUAGGCGUCAUCGAGGUCUUUUCAAUUGGUAUCAUAGCUAGGUCUCUCUUUAAUUAGGUUUAUCGACCUAGAGAGUAUCGAUGUCGACUAUUGGAUUAGUGCACAAUGGCAUCUUUGACUUUGAUGGCACAAAUUAUACCCUAUGGAGAAUUCGUAUGCUUCAUCACUUUCGGGCCAUGGGCCCAAAUACUUUACGAAUUGUUCUUGUAGGGAUUGCCGACAAAAAGGAUGAUGCAUCUUCAUCUACUAAUGAAAUGUAUCUUGAUUGUGAGGCCUUUCUUGCCAUUCAUCGAACCAUACGUCGUGAAGUGUUCAAGUCUAUCUCGACUUGCAAGUCAGCUCAUGAAGUUUGGACUAAACUUNNNNNNNNNNAUUCUUGAAGGGAUUGCCGACAAAAAGGAUGAUGCAUCUUCAUCUACUAAUGAAAUGUAUCUUGAUUGCGAGGCUUUUCUUGCCAUUCAUCGAACCAUAAGUCCUGAAGUGUUUAAGUCUAUCUCGACUUGCAAGUCAGCUCAUGAAGUUUGGACUAAACUUNNNNNNNNNNNNNNNNNNNNNNNNNNNNNNNNNNNNNNNNNNNNNNNNNNNNNNNNNNNNNNNNNNNNNNNNNNNNNNNNNNNNNNNNNNNNNNNNNNNNGCACCAUCUCAUCUCCAAACCCUAGUUCAUCUCUUGUAACCAAUCUCCAUCUUGCGACUCCGAUUGGUACUUGUAAGGUUGCUAGUAGUGUUGAUUACUCUNNNNNNNNNNNNNNNNNNNNNNNNNNNNNNNNNNCUACUCAUUACACCUCUGAUCAUGAUUAUGAUUAUGCUUUGUGAGUAGUUACUUUUGUUCCUGGGGACAUGGGAUAAGUCAUGCUAAUAAUAGUCAUGUGAAUUUGGUAUUCGUUCGGUAUUUUGAUAUGUUGUAUGUUGUUUUUCCUCUAGUGGUGUUAUGUGAACGUCGACUACAUAACACUUCACCAUUAUUUGGGCCUAGAGGAAGGCAUUGGUAAGUAGUAAAUAGAUGAUGGGUUGCUAGAGUGACAGGAGCUUAAACCCUAGUUUAUGUGUUGCUUCGUAAGGGCCUGAUUUGGAUCCACUAGUUUAAUGCUAUGGUUAGACUUUGUCUUAAUUCUUCUUUCGUUGUUGCGGAUGCUUGCGAGAGGGGUUAAUCAUAAGUGGGAUGCUUGUCCAAGUAAGGGCAGUAUCCAAGCGCCGGUCCACCCACAUAUCAAACUAUCAAAGUAACGAACGUGAAUCAUAUGAACAUGAUGAAACUAGCAUGACAGAAAUCCCUGUGUGUCCUCAGGAGCGUUUUUCCUCCUGUAAGACUUUGUACAGGCUUGUCCCUUGCUACAAAAGGGAUUGGGGCACNNNNNNNNNNNNNNNNNNNNNNNNNNNNNNNNNNNNNNNNNNNNNNNNNNNNNNNNNNNNNNNNNNNNNNNNNNNNNNNNNNNNNNNNNNNNNNNNNNNNUUCACUUUGUGUUCAGACCACAUCUCCACUGCUCUGUUGUUAUCUAAAAACAAAACCAGUGCCUCGGACAUCCGGCCUCCUCCGGACGUCCGAGGACCGGANNNNNNNNNNAGACUUCCGGCUACCUCCGGGCGUCCGAGGCCCGGAUGUCCCGCCAAGUCCCGGAAAUCCGGAAGCCUGCACCAGUAGAAGUUGAGCUCUAUAUCUCGGAAAUCCGUCUCCCUCCGGACGUCCGAGCGCCGGACGUCCGACACCCGUCGGAAAUCCGGAACCUACCACCAGUAGAAAUUGUGUUGUAUAACACGGACUUCCGGGCCACUCCGGACGUCCGUAUGUUGAUGAAUUCAAAUAUGUUCACGCACAUCUACAGGCCUCGGACGACCGACCCCUGUCGGACGUCCGGCCGNNNNNNNNNNAUCCGACACCCGUCGGAAAUCCGGAACCUACCACCAGUAGAAAUUGUGCUGUAUAACACGGACUUCCAGGCCACUCCGGACGUCCGUAUGCUGAUGAAUUCAAAUAUGUUCACGCACAUCUACAUGCCUCGGACGACCGACCCCUGUCGGACGUCCGGCCGCUGAUGAAUUCAGAAGAGUUCCAGUCAUGCCUACAGGUCUCAGACGUCCGACCUCUGUCGGACGUCCGGUCCCUCGCGGACGCCCGGACUUCCGACAACUGUCGGACGUCCGGACCCUNNNNNNNNNNNNNNNNNNNNNNNNNNNNNNNNNNNNNNNNNNNNNNNNNNNNNNNNNNNNNNNNNNNNNNNNNNNNNNNNNNNNNNNNNNNNNNNNNNNNNNNNNNNNNNNNNNNNNNNNNNNNNNNNNNNNNUACCCCCUCCCACUUCGUGAGAGGGUUUCCCAACACAGCCUUAUCCUCAUAAGAACACACUUCCACCUCACACACAUUUGCUCACUCCAAAUCUUAGAUCCCAAGAGCAUUUGUGAGCCCCUUUGAGAGUUGUUCCAAUCGAUAGAUCUUCUCCCUCUCCUUCUCUCAACCCAAACUAUUUGUGAUUUGAUCAAGUUUUGAGCAUUCCCCGUGAUCUUAUUACUCUUGGAGGUUGGAGANNNNNNNNNNNNNNNNNNNNNNNNNNNNNNNNNNNNNNNNNNNNNNNNNNNNNNNNNNNNNNNNNNNNNNNNNNNNNNNNNNNNNNNNNNNNNNNNNNNNAGAUGUACCGAGAGGGAUAAGUGAUCCCAUGGUAUGGUAAGCAUUGUCAAUUACGUGUUUGUGUACUAACCCAUGGUCUUUGUGAGACUCCUAUGUGGGGGUUAGGUGUGUUUCCAUUNNNNNNNNNNGCGUAUAAGAUGUACCGAGAGGGAUAAGUGAUCCCAUGGUAUGGUAAGCAUUGUCCAUUACGUGUUUGUGUACUAAUCCAUGGUCUUUGUGAGACUCCUAUGUGGGGGUUAGGUGUGUUUCCAUUGGGCUUGCGUCAAAAGGAAAAUCUCAUACAACCCAUGAAGGAUGACGUCAAGUGGUGAUCGUCAUCAAGAUUGUGGUGUGCAAGUUCAAGUGGAUCAGCAUGAAUAUAUCAUUGAAACUAUUGUCAAUGAUCAUGUGCUAACAAGGGCAAGAUCAAGAUAAGCAUUCCUGAGCACUACAUGCUUGAUUCUUGUGGNNNNNNNNNNUACGAAUAUAUCACUGAAACUAUUGUCAAUGAUCAUGUGCUAACAAGGACAAGAUCAAGAUAAGCAUUUCUGAGCACUACAUGCUUGAUUCUUGUGGAUGUUCACAUGGUGGAUAGGACAAGAUCAAGAUAAGCAUUCUUGAGCACUACAUGCUUGAUUCUUGUGGAUGUUCACACAUGGUGGACAAAUGAAGAUAAAUACAUAAGCUAGGCUUUCCGCAUUGUGUAUGGGAAAGCUACUUGAANNNNNNNNNNUUUGUGGAUGUUCACACAUGGUGGACAAAUGAAGAUAAAUACAUAGGCUAGGCUUUCCGCAUUGUGUAUGGGAAAGCUACUUGAAGACUUCAUCNNNNNNNNNNNNNNNNNNNNNNNNNNNNNNNNNNNNNNNNNNNNNNNNNNNNNNNNNNNNNNNNNNNNNNNNNNNNNNNNNNNNNNNNNNNNNNNNNNNNCUAAAUAUAAGUCUUUUUAAAAAUUUCACUGAUAAACUACAUACAAAGCAAAAUGAAUGAAUAUAUACUUUAAAAUAUGUCUAUAUACAUCCGCAUGUAGUCUUUUGAUAAAACAUCUAAAAAAGACUGAUAUUUAGGAACCGAGGGAGCACAUAAAUUGCCGAGGCAUGUUGGCACCUACGGCAAAAGGACCGUAUAGAUAGGCGCAUAGGCUCCUGUCCAUCGGAUCUCAAAAUUUUUAAAAUAAAUAAACCGAAGUUUCACAAAAAGGAAAAUCAAAGUGUGAUCCUAUAAUUUGUUAUCAAGAUUUUUUUUGAUGCAACAAAUGGAAGACGUUUUAGGUCAGUUAAGUAGAUCCAUCGUGUAUCUGAACAAUACUCCCAACUUAUACUCCCUUCGUCUUAAAAUUCUUAUUUUAAAUUUGUCUAAAAAUGAAUGUAUCUAAAUACUAAAACAUGAUUAAAUACAUUCAUAUCUAGACAAAUCUAAAACAACUUUUUGAAACGAAUGAAGUAUAAGUUAUUUUUUUAAGUCAUUACUCCUAGAGGUUGUAGUAAGUACAACGCAUAUUAUCGAUGUUCCAAAUUACUUGUCUUGGGUUUGUCUAGAUACAUCUACGGAUGUAUCUAACAUUAACAUAUGUCUAAAUACAUCCAUAUGUGAACAAAUAUAAGACAAGUAAUUUGUGACUAAGGGAGUAUAUUAUAGAUCCACAUGUUUUAAACUGCCAAAACAGUUUAUAUUUUAAAAAGGCUGCGGAAGUGAUCCGAGCACAUUUAGUAAUAUUCGCCCUUAUCAUUCCUAUACAACAGAUCAAACAUUGAGCUGGCCUUGCAUUACCAAUGGCACAUACACCAAGGCAGUUAUAUAGCNNNNNNNNNNNNNNCAUAAGCUUUAGAGAUAUUGUACAGUACAUAAUAUUAAAGCAUCGGCAGACAUAAUGUAUAUAAACACGCUCACUCGAGUACCACACGACAAGAGUUUCACAUGGUUCAUCAAGUAGGAAAGGAGCAAUUAGUAAAUAUAACAACAUAGUAUCGGAAUAGAUCCAUUGUCACCGAACGAAUUUAUUCUUAAGACCGGACCACAAAUCAACAAACUUCUCAGAACAUCACCAUUACACCUGAUCUUCAUUCCUCAUCCGUGCGCACAGCUGCAACAUGAACAACCAAGUCAGUGUUCAAGAGAACAAUACAGCAUGAAGUAAAACCAAAGCAAGAAAGAGCCUCAUCUGAAUGCCCACCAGGAAGAAAGACAUUAAAUAUGCAAGUGCACAAAUCAUCACAGAAGCUGGGUAAGCAAAUUAUUCAGAACAGCGUAGAUGUUGGAUUCAACACUUCAUGCAAAUCACGCAAGAGAACAACCAUCACAGUCACUUAAGCAUUCCAAAACCCAACUACAUGUACUUCUGCAGUUCCUGACAGCGCCCCCGAGUUGCAAUUACAAUAUCGAUACUUAUAUGAAGCACAAAAUCAAUAUCGCUACAGAUCCCUACGAACCUAAUUCCGUUUCAAAGAAAAACUACAAACCUAAUUGCACCUAUCCAGCUGUUUUACUCAGUGUUCACAUGCAAUCAUGCAUGCGGCUGAAUAAACUCCCUCUGCUUUGGUACCAGCUCUGAGCAUACAAAUAGGGUAUGACAAAUCUUAAGAGGCAUUUUCAGAACUAUGUGGCAUGAAUGACGCUAAAAGUGAUAAACUACAUGUGCUAAUUAUU